CCCACCGUUCCUUCUUCCGACAAGUCAAAUGAGUAGUAGCGGUCCCAAAUCAUGUUGAACCAGGGAAGAUUUGCUCUGCUAAAGAACUUGUGUAGAUUUUUCAUGAGCAAUGCUUUGUUAUGAACAGCCAGAUCCAAGAUCCCUAGACCACCAAGAUUUUUUGGUUGGGAGACCUUAUCCCAAGUAAUUAGAGCAGGGCCAGAUAUCUCUUGUCCAUACUUCCUCCAUAGAAAUUGCAUGAUGUGUUUAUUUAACUUUUCAAUGAUUCCAGCAGGAAGAGCAAUGGUACAUGUGAAGAAGAUUAGUAGGGUUGCAAAAACUGAUUUGAUGAGUUGAAGCUUGCCAUCAUAUCCUAGCAUGGUAGAGACUCCACAGAGUCUUCUCUCAAUUGUUUGACAAAUGGGAGUGAAGUCUUCAUUUUUAAGCAUGUGAUCACUCAGUGGGAGAUCAAGAUAAGUAAAUGGAAAAGUUCCCAUCUUGCACCCUAAGAAUCCAAGUAACUUAUUCAGAUUUGCUUCUCCCACAUUGAGGGGCACCAAAACAUGUUUUUUUGUAGUAAUCUGAAGUCCAGUUUGAGCAGCAAAAUGUGACGCCCCCGAUUUAAUCGUACACUAAUCAUACACGCAAACGUGUGCGAUCAAGAUCAGGGACUCACGGGAAGAUAUCACAACACAACUCUACAAAUAAAAUAAGUCAUACAAGCAUCAUAUUACAAGCCAUGGGCCUCGAGGGCUCGAAUACAAGAGCUCGAUCAUAGACGAGUCAGCGGAAGCAACAAAAUCUGAGUACAAACAUAAGUUAAACAAGUUUGCCUUAAGAAGGCUAGCACAAACUGGGAUACAGAUCAAAAGAGGCGCAGGCCUCCUGCCUGGGAUCCUCCUAAACUACUCCUGGUCGCCAUCAGCGGGCUGCACGUAAUAGUAGGCACCUCCAGUGUAGUAGGAGUCGUCGUCGACGGUGGCAUCUGGCUCCUGGGCUCCAUCGUCUGGUCGCAACAAUCGGGUAUAGGAAGGGGGAAAAGGGGAGCAAGGCAACCGUGAGUACUCAUCCAAAGUACUCGCAAGCAAGGAGCUACACUACAAAUGUAUGCAUUGGUAUCAAAGGGAAUAAGGGUAUCAUAUGUGGACUGAACUGCAGAAUGCCGGAAUAAGAGGGGGAUAGCUAGUCCUAUCGAAGACUACGCUUCUGGCCACCUCCAUCUUGCAGCAUGUAGAAGAGAGUAGAUGGUAAGUUCACCAAGUAGCAUCGCAUAGCAUAAUCCUACCCGACGAUCCUCUCCUUGUCGCCCUGUUAGAGAGCGAUCACCGGGUUGUAUCUGGCACUUGGAAGGGUGUGUUUUAUUAAGUAACCAGUUCUAGUUUUCAUAAGGUCAAGGUACAACUCCAAGUCGUCCUGUUACCGAAGAUCACGGAUAUUCGAAUAGAUUAACUUCCCUGCAGGGGUGCACCACAUUUCCCAACACGCUCGAUCCCCUUUGUCCGGACACACUUUCCUGGGUCAUGCCCGGCCUCGGAAGAUCAACACGUCGCAGCCCUACCUAGGCACAACAGAGAGGUCAGCACGCUGGUCUAAAUCCUAUGGCGCAGGGGUCUGGGCCCAUCGCCCAUUGCACACCUGCACGUUGCGUAUGCGGCCGGAAGCAGAACUAGCCCCCUUAAUACAAGAGCAGGCUUACGGUCCAAUCCGGCGCGCACCGCUCAAUCACUGACAUCACGAAGGCUUCGGCUGAUACCACGACAUCGAGUGCCCAUAACUAUCCCUACAUAGAUGGUUAGUGCGUAUAGGCCAAUGGCCAGCCUUAGAUCAAAUACCAAGAUCUCGUUAAACGUGUUAUCUUGAAAUAAUCGCGAACGCCGACCAAGGCCAGGCCCACCUCUCUCCUAGGUGGUCUCUACCUGCCCUGUCGCUUCGCCACAAAGAUCCACACAGAGGGUCGUCAGGAAAGUAUGUCCUUCCAGCCCCCAAUUCGUGAAUCAACCGCGGGUACUCCUCGAGCCAACCCGACUUUAGUCAUCACAUGUAUCAUGUAUAAAGUAUAUAGCAUAUACCCGUGAUCACCUCCCGAGUGAUCACGGCCCGAUAGUAUAGCAUUGCAAAUGGACAAGAAUGUAGGGCCACUGAUGAUAAACUAGCAUCCUAUACUAAGCAUUAGGAUUGCAGGUAAAGGUAGCAACAGUAGUAGCAAGGACAGGCUAUGCAUCAGGAUAGGAUUAACGAAAAGCAGUAACAUGCUACACUACUCUAAUGCAAGAAGUAGAGAGAAGAGUAGGCGAUAUCUGGUGAUCAAAGGGGGGGCUUGCCUGGUUGCUCUGGCAAGAGAGAGGGGUCGUCAACACCGUAGUCGUACUGGGUAGCAGCGGCGUCGGUCUCGGUGUCUAGCGAGAGAAGAGGGGGAAGAAACAAUAAAUAUUAAGCAAACAGAUGCAUGACGAUGCAUGACAUGACAAAGUGUGAAGUUAGGUGUGCCCUAACGCGGUAUGAGGUGGUACCGGUGAAGGGGGGAAACAUCCGGGAAAAUAUCCCCGGUGUUUCGCGUUUUCGGACAGACGAAAUGGAGGGGGGAAAGUUAUGUGUUCACUAUGCUAGGGAUGCAUGGGGGACGAACAGGUUGCGUAUCCGGAUUCGUCUUGUCGUUCUAAGCAACUUUCAUGUACAAAGUUUUUCCAUCCGAGCUACGGUUUAUUUUAUAUUAAUUUUAAAAGAUUUAAAUCAUUUUUAGGAUUUAUUUAAUUAUUUAAUUCAACAUUAUCCAGAAUAGUGUCUGCUGAUGUCAGCAUGACAUCAGCAGUUGACCUGGUCAACCUGACAGGUGGGUCCCACCUGUCAGUGACCCAUUUGACUAAUUAACAGUAGUUAAUUAGGUUAACUAGUUAUUAGGUUAAUUAAUCUUAAUUAGUUAAUUUAAACAGAAUUAAUUAAGUUAAUUAUUUAGUUAAUUAAUUGUUUUGUUUAUUUAUUUUAUUUCUAUUUUUUUCUUUAUUCUUAUUCUUCUUUUUUUAACAUUCUGUGGGCGGGGCCCCUCUGUCAUAGGCCCAUAGGGGCUUUAGCAGACGCUGGCGUUAGCGGGCACGGGCGCAACGGGUGCCCAGCACCUGUUCGUUCGCGCGCACGCCCGGGGCUGCGGCGAGGCCGGCCGAAAAUGGCUCCGGCGAGGCCAACCGAAGGCGGCGGGGNNNNNNNNNNNNNNNNNNNNNNNNNNNNNNNNNNNNNNNNNNNNNNNNNNNNNNNNNNNNNNNNNNNNNNNNNNNNNNNNNNNNNNNNNNNNNNNNNNNNNNNNNNNNNNNNNNNNNNNNNNNNNNNNNNNNNNNNNNNNNNNNNNNNNNNNNNNNNNNNNNNNNNNNNNNNNNNNNNNNNNNNNNNNNNNNNNNNNNNNNNNNNNNNNNNNNNNNNNNNNNNNNNNNNNNNNNNNNNNNNNNNNNNNNNNNNNNNNNNNNNNNNNNNNNNNNNNNNNNNNNNNNNNNNNNNNNNNNNNNNNNNNNNNNNNNNNNNNNNNNNNNNNNNNNNNNNNNNNNNNNNNNNNNNNNNNNNNNNNNNNNNNNNNNNNNNNNNNNNNNNNNNNNNNNNNNNNNNNNNNNNNNNNNNNNNNNNNNNNNNNNNNNNNNNNNNNNNNNNNNNNNNNNNNNNNNGGGCGGCUUUAGGUGACAGCGUCCGGCGAGGUGGCUCUCCAGGCGGCAGCGGCGGUCGGCUCCCCUCCUCGAUCCCGAUCCAGUCGGGGGAAGAUGGGGGAUAUUUUGCGCGGGAGUGGGGUGUGGGUGUCGGUGGCGAGUGGGGGAGUGGGUAUAAGGGAGUGGGGGUGGGCCUUGGCCCAGUUGGGCAGGCCAGCUGGGCCGGAGCCCAGUGGGGGUGCUUUUCCCUUUUUUUUGUUUGCUUUGAUUUUUCCUUUUAUUUAUUUUCCCUUUAUUGUUUUCAUUUACUUGUGUAAUAGUUUAUAGUUUUAGAAAAAUGAAACCCACUCCUAAAUUAGAUUUGUAAAAUUGAUUGUUCUCACAAAAGGUUUGGGACAAAAGUAAAGCAACUUGUAUUCUUUACUAAUUGAAAAAGCAUUUAAGUUAUUGUUUCUGUCGCUGUUUUAUUUAUUUUAGCGCAUCCAAAUACUUUUUAAAAAUGUUGGUUACUCCACCUUAAUACUUAGGAUUUAUUUCGCUCACCCCGAACAUUUUAGUUUUAAAUUUUGAAAAACUUUUAUUGUUUGCCUUUAAUUCAAUUUGAAUUCAAAUGGGAUUUGAAUCAUCACGAGUUUGGCAACAGUAAUCGUGAUGACGUGGCAACAUUAGAAGGGUUUACUGUAGCUUAAUUAUCCGGGCGUCACACAAAAUGCGACAGCAGGUUAUUCACUUGUGCAAUUUGUUUUUCUUGGGCUGGGAGAACCAGAAUUUCAUCGGCGAACUGGAUCACUAUGUAAUCUUGAUUUGACUGAGAGUUGAUAGGAGCUUGAAUAAUGUUUGCAUGCAUUACUUCACUGAGAACUGGGUGAAGUAGAUCAGCUCAUAGGACACAAACGAGUGGUGAGAGGGGGUCUUCAUUCCUCACUCCCCUUUCACAUUUGAAUUGCUUCCCUGACACUCCAUUCAACGAGACAUAAGACAAUCCAGUGGUGUAAAUCAUUUGAUCCAGUUAAUCCAUCUGGAGCUAAAGCCUGUGGCCUAGAGAAUUUGUAAUAUAGUGUCAUGUUCAAUCGUAUCAAAAGCUUUAGCAAAACCAAGUUUUAAGAUUAGUAUUUCUUUCUUGGACUGCUGGCACUGGUGAAUGUACUCAUAUGCCCAUGAUAGACAAUCUGGUAUGGACUUGGACUUCAGAAAUCCAUUAUUGAUUUGUAUGAAUAAGCUUGAGGAUUACUUUUUGUAGCCUAUUAGCCAGGAGCUCAGUGAUGAUAUUGAUGGAGCUGUUUAGUAGAGAAAUGGGCCUAAAAUCAUGAGGUGUUAGAGGAUUCUCUUUCUUUGGAAUCAAAGUAAUGAAAGAGUUGUUUGUGGGUGGAAGGUUCACUUUCUCAUUAUAAAAAUCUUCAAUGAGCUAGCAAAAGUUUUGACAAAUGAUAUGCCAACAAGUUUUCAAAAAUGCCCCAUUGAAACCAUCUGGACUAGGAGCUUUAUCAGUAGGAAGAUGUUUAACAACCUCAUCAUUUUCCAUUUUUUGAGAAUGGUGCAUCAAGCUCUUCCAAAGAAAUAUUUGAUGAGAGCAUGCUAGAGAGAUUGAAUAUUUUUUAAGUUGGAGAAGUACUACCAAGUCUCUUCUUAUAGGCUCUCCAUGGAAUUGCAGCCUUUGCAUUAUGAUCAAGGUGUUCAGUUUGUUGUACAUCAUUCAACAUGGCAAUCUAGGUAUUUGUGUACUUGAUAGUUUCUUUUGCCUGGAAUUUUUUUAUGUUUCCUUCUCCAAACUUCACCCGUCUAAUUAUGGCUCUUUGCUUACGGUAUAUGCUUUGAAAGUUAAGCAAGUUGUUCAUGUGGCUCUUUAAGAUAACUCUUCCAUUCCAUUCCUUGGUAUUCAAAGGCAUAUAUUGUUCUAACAUGUCCAGGAGAAGAAUGGUCUCAUUGGAGUUCUUGAUAUGUUGGGCAAGUUUUGAGAUGUUUCUAGACCAAACAUAACUUGAUCCAAAGUGAGCCAAGAUAAAACCACUUUCCUAACCAUCCAAUUAUAUGAUGUAUGAUAGUUCAUAUAGGCCUAGUUAUUUAAUCUAUAGGAAUAGACCAAUGAACAUUCAUGCUCUCAGGAGAAUGAUGUAGAAGGCUUGGGGUCUCCACAUGGAGGCUCAAUUUAAGGAUAUUAGCGGAAACAUCUUUGUAGUCCGCUUUGGCAGUGAAGGAGACGGAAACACUGGUUAAUUAAUGGACCAUGGCAAUCUGACUUUAACAUUAUAGUGCUGAAGGAUCAUGAGGAGGAUACGAGGCUGUCUGAUAUGGUUUUUGACAUAGUUGAAGCAUGGGUUUGAGUCACGGACCUACUACUAGAUAAACGCUUGGAAACUUUUGGAAAGGACCUUGGAAAUUGUCUCGGGGAGGUGAUCAAACUAGAUGCGGAGAAAGAUGGUUUAGCAUGAGGAAAGCACCUCCGUGUCCAUGCAACAUAUAUGUAGAUGAUUCGUCGGUGAGGGAUUUCUUCCUUAUGUCUUCACCAGAAGACCGAAUUGGUACUUGGUUUGAUUUCUCAUACAAGAAGAUUCCGCACUUCUGUUGUGAAUGUGGUCGGCUAAUUCAUGUAGAUGGUGUUUUUAGCCAUUGUGAAAUCUAGCUCCUGGUGGGAGAAUGGUUGAGGGACACAUGUUUGGGCUUAAGAGUGAAUCCAAUAAGAUGGUGUCUAGCAACAACAACAAUUUUGGUAGCUCGAGAUCGAGUGAGACCGAGCAUGGGAGACACAUGCAUGCUACUGUCUGAGACCUUCCAACCAAGCAUAACCUGUAUCGAGAGUUCAUGUCCUCUAGUACCACCCGCACUGGCGGGAGUACAGAGUCAAGUAGGAUGAGGUCAGUAGCCCGAGUAUGUGCAAGCACAAAUAGGGGAGAAUAAAGAGAAGGACUUGCGACAAAAUUUAGAGGAUAAAUGUGAAAGGGAGAUGAGGCAUGACCUGCACCAGUGACAUGCCCGGAGGAGCUCUGCAAAAUAACAAUACAACGAUCACAAAGAUACCCAUCACCACCACGUUCUGGUUUGGAGGAAUUAGGAAGGAGAAGGAGAAGUACAUAUGUAUGCAGGCCGAGAUAGUUUCAUGGUGAACAUCAACACAUGACCUCGAGUUAUCAAACUAAACUUGUAGAGAGAAAGAGAAUGCCCAAGCAGCUAUGGACCCAAAGGGAGCUCUGAAUAUGUAGAUUACUCAUGAUACUUUCAUUGGUGGUAAUAGGCAGAAAUUGACUUUAGUAUCUAGUCGUACCGCUAACAAUAUUGAGAAAUCGGUGGACCCUGCCGAACAGGGCCGCUGUGAGCAAUGGAUCUUUUAGUGUGGAUUUGUUGGGGAUUGGGGUUGAACUCGACAGUUGCCGAAUUAUGUGACCUGAUUAGGUCUUAUGAUUCAAUAAUGGUUUUCUUAAGCAAAAAAAAGAGAGCUCGGGUACAAUGGAGAAGGUUAAGUGCAACCUGGGUUUCAGGCAGGGUGUAGUUGUGGGCUUCAGGCAAAUUUUCAUUCCGGAAUAACAUUUAACAUGGUAAAAAACAAACUCGUCAUUCCAAAAAUGCUAUUUUCGAAAGCAUAUUAUGAGUGUUAUUUUUGUUUUUUUGCCAUGACUUCCACGAAUGUUAUCUUCGGGAUGAAAAUUUGCAAGCGCCAAAAACAUUUGUCGAAGUUUAUAAAAAAAAAACAGAUUUUUUUGAAGUUUUUUUUUCAUUUUUAAAAUUUACUAUUCACCCAGAGCUCUUUUACGCAUUAAACAUCCCAUGGGCAAUCAAAAGCAUCAAACAGCCACACCCCACUCUGCUACAGUCUACAGUCUCUAGUCUAGUUCCUGCUGCUACUACCACUGCCACUACCACGGCACCACCACACUUGCUCGCCUCCCUCUGUCUCUCCUCUCCCCUCCCCUCCCCUCCCUCCUAUAGCAAUCAAACCACCAGCUCCACUCCCCCCUCCCCUCCACCGUCCUCCCCCUCCCCCUCCUGCUACUCCCUAGUUCAUGUCCUGCUGCUUCCCAUGUCGCCGCCUCUCGAGCUCGACUACAUAGGCCUCUCGGCCGCCGCCGGCGGCCGCGCGGACGACGACCUGAAAGGCACCGAGCUCCGCCUCGGACUUCCCGGCUGCGAGUCGCCCGACCGCCGCCCGGUCACCGCCACCACCACACUGGAGCUGCUGCCCGCCAAGGGCGCCAAGCGAGGGUUUUCGGACGAGGUCGCGCCGCCUGCGCCGGCUUCCGCCGGCGGGAAAGGCAAGGACGCGUCCGGGGAUGAGAAGGACAAGAAGGUCGCCGCCCCGCCGCAGCCUGCUGCCAAGUAGGCGCCUACUCCCCCUGCGAAUUUUGUGGAUUUGACUGUUUCAUGGUGUUCUGCCGAGUUUUGCGGGAUGCGGUGGGUUGGAGCGCGAAUGGGUGGAUGAAGUGAUGCGUAAAAAUUUGGGAAAAUAUGUGGUGGGUUAGUACGAGACGGUGAUUUAGUUUGCUUGGAACCUCCGAAAAGCUGUAAUUUGGUGGCCGUUGCAUGCAUUUGAGGGAAUUCCGUCUGUCGAGGCGGAAAACCCCUCUUUUUUGGGUGCAAAUUUGGUGCCGAAGGGCCCAUUUUGCGGUUCUUCCGUUGCUGUUUGUGGGCGCGCGUUUGCACUCGGCUUGAUCUAUUAGUUUCAGGAGCGUGGAGGGGUAGAGAUUCAUUCACUGAAGAGUCUUUUUACAAUUUUGCUGUGAAAUUAGACUUCAAUACCCCCCUCCUCUUUUUUCUAACUUUAUUAGAUGUGUGAUUUUGUUCUUUGAAAUUUCAUUGGGAAACUAAGGAGGGCUUCACAUCUGCAAAUUUGCGCACCUGGUUUGAAUUGGACUAGUCAAUUUGGGUCUACCUUUACUUUCAAGGUUUACCAAGUUUGUAGUGCUUUGAGUUGUUUUCCAGGGUAUGUUUGGUUUGAACAUACCCGGUUGUUUUCAACUCGUGUUCAUAACCUCAUAGAGCCAAACGAAAUGCUGGGUCGGCUCCAUUGCCGGUUCUUACUCUGAAUGGCCGAUGCGCAGGACUCAGGUGGUGGGAUGGCCACCAGUACGCAGCUACCGCAAGAACACGAUGGCAACCACCACCAACCAGCUGAAGAGCAGCAAGGAGGAUUCUGACACGAAGCAGGGGCAAGAGUUUCUGUAUGUCAAGGUCAGCAUGGAUGGUGCGCCUUACCUGAGGAAGGUUGACCUCAAGACAUACAAGAACUACAAGGACAUGGUUGUGGGGCUAGGGAAAAUGUUCAUUGGCUUCAGGACCGGUGAGGCUGCUUGGAUCCUUGGCAAAUUGUUGAUGUUUUAAUCUGCACCUGAAUUUGAAUUGGGGUAGAAGAAAUGCAUCGUUGCACACAUCUCAUUUCGCUGAAGAAAUAACCAAUUACUCUGUUUGGAAAUGUUCUACUCCCUCCGAUCCAAAUUAAUUGACGCAGCUUUAGUACACUUUACUAAAGCUGCGUCAAAUAAUUUGGAUCGGAGGGAGUAGCAAAUUCCAGGUUUAUGAAAUUGAUGAAGAAGACUCUUUUUCAGGGCCGGCUAAAUUGGUUAUUGUGGUGUAACCAGUUUCGAGGCUUCGCGUCUACAUUUGGCCAUGCUAUUUGUGUGCAUAUUUGUUUCGCUAGAUACCUAGUUUCAGCAUAUAUUAUUACCGGUGGAGCAAAUAUUCUCUUCUAAUUCAAGGAACUUUUAUUGUGUUUAAUAUUGUUUGAUGAAGCAACUAGCAGUGGACUAUGUCAUAAAAUGCCUAAUGUUUAGGCUAGCAUUCGCUAAGGGUCUGUAAAUAACUAAAUAUCACUCAAUUAUUCAUAAGCCUUUGAUAAACAGCAAUUUCCCUAUAACCUCUUCAUACCCAUUUUGUGCUUCAAGGACAGACAUCAAACCUACUAAUUUAAGAACGUAAAUUUCAGAAAGGUGUAUAUCUAGGACAUAAAAUUUACCAACAUACAAUGCUUUGUUUGAGAAAUUCAGUGUAAGGUGGUCCUUUGUCCGGCAGUUUUAACCUUACAUGUGGUACUGGGUCUAAUUCUGUACCAGGGAAGGAUGGUGCAUCUGAGAACAGAAAGGAUGGUGAAUAUGUGAUGACUUACGAAGACAAGGAUGGAGACUGGAUGCUGGUUGGUGACGUCCCAUGGGAGUAAGUACAUUGUCUGAUCUAAUUGGAAUAACAACAAGCGUAGAAAUGAGAACUCUGGAUGAUAGUUUGAGUUUUGUAGUAUAACUUUUAAAGGAUGAUAAAAAAUGAUAGUGUACCAAAUAAAUGUUUUUUACUAGUUUUCUGUGUAUACAUACAUGCACCCAGAUAAAAUGAACUCGUUCUCUACAGCAACAGCAGCCAUGAUUAGAGUAUCUCUUAAGUCCAUCUAACCUGUUCUAAUUUUUUAUAGAAUGCAUGCAGUCAUCCUCUUAAAACUCUGACACAGAUAUACUAAUUUUUUUCCACCUAAAAUUGUGCCAUUAGUUUUAAAAAGCUUUGCUAUUAGGAAAAACAGUGGUCUAAGCAAUUUAUUGGAGAUAGCAUUGACGCCAAAAGAACCAGUAAAAAGGAACGGACCUAGUAGCCUAGUACUAGCUACUUGGUUAUCUUCUUAUUAUGUUGUAGUUGCUCUAAAUUCUAUGGUCCUGGUGUUCUAUUGCUGCAUGUAGCAUCUCAUGUCUGAACAAGUGAAAGGGUUCUAAUGCAGUCACUAACUCACUGUAGUUGUUCUUGUGGCACGUUAAUUGUUACAAUUCCGUUGUCAAGAAAACCAUGAAUAUCUGAUGCAUACCUGAUACCUCCCCUAUGAGCUUAUCAAGUGAUUGCUUCUUAUUUGUAAUUGCAGGAUGUUCACCGAGUCUUGCCGGAGGAUCAGGGUCAUGAAAAGUGCAGAUGUGAUUGGACUUGGUAUGUCCAAUAGUGCUCCGUUCAGUAAUACAUUUUUGUUUUAAUUUCACUGAUGCCAUGCCGUGCUUCUGCAGUUAUUUUAUUUAACCAUUUGUCUGCACGUGUUACUGCUUUACUGCUCAAGCUGUUUCUCAGGCUUGCUUAAUUAUUUGAACUGCACUUAAGCGGGAAAGCGGUUUACUCUUGAAAAAAGUCAUUGUACUUGAAAGCUUGUUUAGAAGUUGGAGCUUAAAUAUCUUUACGGUCCCAGCAUUAAAUUGAGUGUUAGUUUGCUUUUAUUCCUUUUAAUUAGAAUAUACUCCCAAUUCUACUCUAGACGAGUAAGAAAGCCUUGUGAGUUUUGGAAGUGUUUGGAUAUAACCCAUUCCUGGUCUCUAGAGUUUGGAGAAUGACAAUUGUUUCCGUAAUGCCAUUUGAAGAACAGAAUGUUGUGUUUGGAUAUAACCCAUUCCUGGUCUCUAUCUAUGCUUUUGUUUUGCUACUUUGGAAUGUUUGUCCAACAAUGUAAGGUUUUAAGUUCACUUGGGUAACCUGCACCAUCCUACGUCAAGUACAUUUCAUAAUUCUACCUUGACAGUAUGAUGUCCAAACUGACUGUAUCUGUUCUUUUUCCAGGAGUUACAAGGGCAGGGGUUAAGUCCAAGAAUAAGAACUAAAACGGUCGCUGCCCACAGUUUGAAGACGAGGUCGCACAUAUCGUCUGUACUACUGCAUGGUUUUCCUACCCCGCAAGUAAAACCACCCGUUACUCUACUGUUUAAGAUUUGCGAUAUCUCCUAGAGACUUAUGCUCUAUAUUUUGUUGUGCCCACGUUGUUGUACGCGUGUUAUUUCCAUCCGUGUAAAUGGUUGGCAAGCAGUGCGAGAGCUACUGCUGUGUUUGAUGACUCCUAUGUAUUUCGCCACUCUUGUCCUGAACUGGUCGUUCGUCGUAAAUGUGAAGGUUGCAAGACUAUUAUUUACCUGACGAACUCUGCUUCGGCACACCCCCUCCUAGAAAAGUCUACAGAUUUCGACGCAGAUUAGAAUUUACCCCUUUGAUAAAAAAAGGGUGACAUGGUCUUUUGUACCCAAAUCAAUCUAUUCAAUACGUUUGAUCUGCAGGCUAACAUGGCGGUGGUCUUUUUAAGUUAACUUUAAGAUCUGUAUAAACUUUUUAAGGGGGUGCAACGAAGGGAAGCAAAACUCCUGGCUUGUUCCAAAGUUUUUGCUGUUCCAAUUUGUUAUACUGUUUGCGGAUCAGCGGGCUGCUGCUUUGUUAUCCAUUUCUUCUGAAACAUAGGCAACAAUUGCAUGGUGAAACAUCUCAUCUAUUCUUUGCCAGCAGCUGUGUGGCUGUUGCCGGGUGGGGACAUGUACUACUGCACACGCCAAAAUUAUCUUUUGAAGCCGUUCAUCAUGGUUGUUCCAUAGAGUAGUAGUAGUGGUGCUAUGGCCUAAAAGGCUUCCUAACACCAUCAUUCAGGUAGUAUAAAAUGCGACGGCUAUGGGGGUUAAUGAUGGCUUAUCAUCCCUUAGAAUCAGGCUUUCCAUUGCCGGCCAGUAUCUUCUUCCUUCCCACCUACAGUACGUAGUAGAAAGUAGAAACGAUGCUCCACUUUGGCCUCCUUUCCUCUUGUUUCCUAUUCCUCCUUUCCCCUUGCAUAUCCGCUGGUUGGUUGGUGUGCAUGUGAAGCAGCGGCGGGAUCAGGAUCGAACACUUCAGGACGCUGGGCCCUGUCCUAGUUUAUCCCAGAAGACGAAUGAAUCAGCGUUGGCAUGCACUUGCUUGCCUGUGCCUCGUGGUGUUUUCCAGGACAAGUGUGGAGUACUACCACUGUAAACUAAUAUAAGAGCGCGUUUAGAUAACUAAAGUAGUAAUUUUUUUGAUAAAAGAUGGAUUUUAUUAACUCAAAAUGAAGCAUCAAGUAGAUAUAAAGCAUGAUGAGCACACAUCCGGCCUUUGCAUAGCUAGGAUGCACAUAGCCAACACCAACACACGCGCACAAAAAACACACGCUGAGAAAUAGCAAAAUCAUACAAGACCAAAGCUAUGCCUAAGCGAAAAAAGCCAAAGCGAUCAGAACAACGAUCGACAAACUACGACAAUGAUCAUAUCCGCAUCAUCCAUCUUUUGACACCACAAGGACAAAAAAGUUCUUCAACAGCAACGCCUUCAGAAAGGAAAUGACGCACCAACGUUGCCGUCGCCGGAUCCAACAAUGAGAGGCCAGAAUCUAGGUUUUCAUCAUGAAAAACAAGUCUGAGCAUAUAUGAGCAAUGCCUUCAACAAGGUAACGAUGCAAAAACGUCGUCAUUGCCAGGAAUAACCAACUUAGGUCAAACCUAGGGUUUUCACCCCAAAACUCAAGACUGGAUACUCGAGAAGCACCACCAGAUCUAAGUCAAUCAUGUGUGUUGCCAUCACUUUUCCACGAUCCCAGCAGCUACAUGCGCUGGGCUUAAAAUCCCGUUGACGCCGCCACUGCACAACCAUAUCUUUUGCGUCAAGUCACCGUCCAUAGAUUGCAUCUCAUCGCCAAAGGCAGACUGGUCGGAGCGAGAGCCGCCAAACCCCGUAAAGGGAGCUUUUGGCUGCAUCCCGCCAGCUCGCCGGUUCGAGUCACCGGCGGCAACCAUCAGAUCCAAAGAGAUAAACACUAACAAAGAUCAUCAGGUGGCCACGACAAUCCGCAGGGCACGGAUGCCCAUAACCAAGUGGAUCGCCACCGGAACCCCCAGCUGCCACAAAGCGCCAAGGCUAGCACGCGCGAGAGAGCGCAGCCGCAAGGAUGGUACCACCAGAACUUCAUGCAGGCCAACGCAGCAUGCCAGAUCCAUAACAGGGACGCCAUGAUCUGCAGUCAUACAACGCGCCGCCGGUCCUCCUCAUGCGCACCAAGCAGAUACAGCCCAUGGUUACUGCAACAAGAUGGAAUGCUGAUGCAUGGAUCACGCUAACACCCCACACGCGCAGGCUUCCAGAUUUGUUUAUCCGCCACUGUAGCUACGUCACGACCACUAGCCUGCGACAACCACCACACAGGAGCAGGGGCAUCACGAGGACUAGAAAGAACGGAGGGGAGUGGGCAGGAGUGGCCCCGCGGCCGCCACCGGCCAGCCGACGGCCGCCGGCGACGGCAGCAAGGGUAGGGAAGAGGAGGCGGCGCCUAGGGUUAGGGCCGGCGACUCUCUGGUGGACUUAAGUCAUUUCAAGCGUGUGAUUUAAACGCUUUUAUAUUAGUUUACGGGGAGGAGUACGCGAUUCUACUUUGAUGCUGAUCAGGCUGGAAACCAGUUAACUAACGAAAAAUCGGUCAAAAACCGCCACGACCUGCUGAGCAGCAGGGACAAGAUACCCCACAUGCACCACUGUAAAGAAAGGCUCAUCGAGGUAGCACGUUGACGUCAUCAUCGUUGAUUCUCCUUGAGAACCAUCAUCGUCUUCCCUUCUCUCUGAGGGAGCGAGCGACUCCGCCUUCCCAGCAGACGACCACCGACGCAACCCAAUCCGUAGAGGAAGUGCGAAGCCACAUGGAGAUCAAUGCCAAUCACUCAGCCACCCGCGACAGGGGUGACACAAUUCCGAUUUUGACGAAGUGCUGCGAAGGAGAACUAUGCAGGGCUGAUGCUGCGGAAAAUCAGAAAUCACUGAACAAAUCACGUACCACUUGUCAUCUUGCCACCCGGACCCGUUAUCGUAGCUAUGACUUUGUAGUCGAGAAGGACCUAAGGAUACACUAGAGAAGAGACGACUACCAUAAUCAUGUCGUGACCGUGUCAUCUCUCUUCCCAUCGUCGUUGCCACAUAAGCCAUGACGCCUUCACCAUCAUCUUCCACCGGCCGCCGCCACGACCACCCUCAUCAUCCUCACCACCCUGAGUCCCUGACGCACCACUCUCCCGCGGUCCUCCUCGUUCCCACUGGCUGGAUAAAGCUAAAAAAUGAUGCCCGUGAGAGGGGAACGACAUCAAAAUGUCGCCUCCGUCCGAUCAUCUUGUAUUUGGCUUCUCUCGGGUUGUCUCAGGCGGAGAUAGGCAGAGCAACUCAUCGACGCCGGAAGUUACGACAUUGAUAUAUGUCUGUCGCCGUCGCUGGCUGCGGCCACGGCCGUAGACAAAAAUGAGACUUUCCCCGAGAGUGUCCUCAGCUCAGGCUGGUUAUAGUGGGGAGUAACUUAGACUAGUAUCAUAUGCAUGACAGUAGUCUAAGUUACUACCUUCAUAGUGCAAAGUAACAUAAUACUAGUGUCAUAUGUGGCCUCAUUUAAUAGCUUGUAGACUCAUGUUGUCUUGAAAAGCGCUAUGUUACAGUAACAUAUUAUGUUACUACUUUUCAUUAACUACUUGCAACAUAAGCAAAAAAUUCUCGAGAUGCGUUAUGUUACUACCUAAAUUACUCCCACUAUGACUAGCCUCAAAGAAUCCGUUGAGCCAGCACAACCACUUGUCGCAUCUUCUCCAGAUCCAUGGCAUCUCUGGGCCGGCAAAUGCAAGCAAGCCGACCUAGCUCAGUGGUAGAGCGCGUGGCUUUUAACCACGUGGCCGUGGGUUCGAUCCCCACGGUCGGCGUUAACUAUGGUUUUUUUAAACCCUUUUAACCCCGAACACUUCUCAGCAAAUCAGCGUAUCUCCCUCCGCACUUGCUUCCCUGUGCCUUUCUGCUGUUUCCAGCAGAUACUUCAAUAUCAUUUACUGAAUCUUAUUUCAUGACAAGUGGCAACCACGCCGACCUAGCUCAGUGGUAGAGCGCGUGGCUUUUAACCACGUGGCCGUGGGUUCGAUCCCCACGGUCGGCGACUUGUAAUUUUUUUGAUUUUUUCUUUAUUUCGACCUGUUCAUUUUUGUUCAGGCAGGACCACUGCCUAGUAGGAUAUUUUGUUCAUUUUGGAAUCCUUUGGUGAAAGAUCCCCACGGUCGGCGAUAUUUUCUAACUUUCCCGACUUGUUAAUUUUUGUUCGGGUAGACUGCCUAGUAUGAUGUGGAAUCCUUUGGCGUGAAAGGUCCCUUUGUUCCUCCGUGGUCCUGCCCUGCCACUGUACGAGUAUGCGCUAGCUAGCAUUACUACCAUCCUAGAUCAACCUUUAAUCUUUUCGUGCCUGAUAAAGCUAGCUUAGUUUACUAGUAACGCAAUGCCAGCGAAAUGCCGUGUUCCUUUUGUUACGCCACCAUCCAUUAAGAUUUCUUGCACCGCAUCUUACAUAAUACAGUACUUACUACAUGGCCAUGUCUGUAAUCACCGAGCUCAUGCUCUGCAAAUGGUUAUCCCGAUAUGACGUGGUACGAAGUGGGAUCGAUCACCGGACCGGACGGACGCAUUUGACAUUUGCUUCGAGUCCGUCACCGCGAUUGACGCCUGUAAAAUUUGUCCACCGCGCGCAUGCGCUCUGAACCAGUCUGAACCCAGAGGCAGGAGGUGGUGCGGCAGUAACUGCCCCCUGCUCCGACGCAGCGUCAGAGCCCAGGUGCCGCGCUGUCGCCUCCAGCACGAGCGCGGGAGGGCCGAGGGCCAGGGCAUUGCCAUUGCCUGUCUCGCCAUGAGUUGCUUUUCGCGGGCACAGUAGUAGUACCGGGGGGUGUAGUCGUGGUGGUGUAGACGUCGUACCCUUGUCUCGGUUUCCGGCGACCCUGCGGUUUGCUUUGCUCGCGCCGUUAGUACCGUGCGGCAUCGUGCGUGGUUCGGGGACCCAGGAUCUCUCGCGGUAUUACGGGGGUUUACUGUCAGUCAGGAUUGUCAUUCUGGGAAAUCAGAUUAUCUUCCAGGGCGCUGUAUGCAAAGCUGCGAGCAGAAUGCGCUUAUUGUCAGUUAUUAACCAGUUAACCUGGAUAUCACAUUGACAGCAGCACCGUACACUUGGGGCACCUUCUCAUUCUACUAGCAAAAGACAGAUCGGCAACAUACAACUUUAUAUGCGACAAAUUCAAGUCCAAGCUCACUGCUUACAAAGCCAACAUGCUCUCUCGUGCAGCAAGAUCAAUUCUUAUUAAAUACUCCCUCCAUCCCAAAAAAAAUUAAUACAAAGUUGAGUCAUUUAUUUUGGGACGAAGAGAGUAUGUCUUUUCCUCAAUCCCUGUCUACCAUAUGUCAAAUAUCCUCUUUUCAAAGUUCUUACCAAAACUCAUAGCUACCAUUAGAAACUUUUGGUGGACAGGUGUGAAAAAAAAGAACCAUCUACAAAGAUACUAUGAUUAAGGGCAUGGGCAAACAUUUGCAUAGAAAAAAGGAUUGGUGGUUUAAGUGUUAGGACCUUACGUGCUAUUAACCAGGGUCUAAUUCUUUCGAUGGCCUAGAGAUUAGCAAAGGAACCCAGAGUCAUCUUGCUCUCAUUCUCAAAUCAAAGUACCACAACAACACAUCCAUUUGAAGGACGAAGCAAAACAUAUCAAAAUCUGCCACCCACUAAGCAAUUCUCAAGGUAAGACCACUGUUAAUAUCAACCUCUUUUUACCAAAUUGUUGAUGGCAGUAGCUCCAUUUGGAGUUCACUGUGGUUCUCUCAAUGUCAAACUAUUUAUGAUAAUUUGACCAUUCAACAACCUCCUUAUAUUUACCUGGCUAUAGUUAAUGACCUUUGGUUCUCAAUCAGAAAACUUGAAAUGUUCAACUUGUCAACUCUUUGUUUACUUCUCAAUCUGCUAACGUUAUACUGCAAACCCCUAUCAUUAAUGCUCGUGGACGUUCUAGUUUGGAAAUUAAGACUGCAGGUGGUUUCUCUUAAAAAAGUACAUAUUAACACUGCUUUAAUAAUCUAACACUAUCGGCAAACUAGAGGCCGAAAUCUGGAGGCACUCAUGGCACCAAUGGUCCAAACAUUUGUCUGGAGGCUUCUUCGUCGAGCUAUUCCAACUGGUAAGAAUGCAAUAGGUUUUCCAACCAUAUUAGUGAAAAUUGUGCAAGAUGUGGCAACAUAGAGGAUGAAAUGCACAUGCUUUUCUUUGCCCUUUCUCAAAAGCUUCUUAGGUUUCCUCUCCUUGGUAUAUUAAAACUGAGGUACUUGCUGAAAGUAACCAUUCAACUCCACAAAUAUUAAAGGCUUUGCUAGUUUUUGCUCAUCCUCAUAUUAAUAUAACCAGUCUAUACACUUUCUUGUGGUGCCUUUGGAAGGUAAGAAAUGAUACUUUGUUUGGUAGAAAGUUUUGCAAGCCCUCGCAUGUAUAUCCGACGGCUAAUGCGAUCACGCAAGGCUCAAAGCUAGAAGAGAUGAUGGCAUCCCAGGAUCAGCACGACACAACCCCUAAUGUUCAACAGCUAAUAACCCAGCAAGAACCACCCUUGGUUACGUCUCCAGGAAUUUCCUGUGAUGCGGCCUGGAAAAAUGAAGAAAAAAUGCAAUCAUCUCCUGCAGGCAUUGGUGUUAUUAUCCAACUUGAAGACAAUGAACAUUGCCAGUGGCUGCAUGUUUCGGCUCUUUCUCCUCAGGUGUCAUCCCCUCUCUAGGCCGAAGCAUAUGGACUUCUCCAAGCCAAGAAGCUAGCAGAUACUCUUCACAUCCACGAUCCACACUACUACGCAAAUUGUUCUGCUCUAGCGUCGGCAGCAACUACGAAUUCCAUCUGUUGGGGAACGUAGUAUUUCAAAAUUUUUACCUACGAUCACGCAAGAUCUAUCUAGGAGAAGAAUAGCAACGAGCAGGGAGAGUGUGGUCACGUACCCUCGUAGACCAAAAGCAUUUAGUAACCUGGUUGAUGUAGUCGAACGUCUUAGCGAUCCAACCGAUCAAGUACCUAAUGCACGGCACCUCCGCGAUCUGCACACGUUCAGCUCGGUGACGUCCCUCGAGCUCUAGAUCCAGUUGAGGCCGAGGGAGAGUUUCGUCAACACGACGGCGUGGUGACGGUGAUGAUGAAGUUACCAACGCAGUGCUUCGCCUAAGCACUAUAGCAAUAUUACCGAGGUGGAAAUCUGUGGAGGGGAGCACCGCACACGGCUAAGAAAUCAACUUGUGUGUCUAUGGGGUGCCCCCUCCCCCGUAUAUAAAGGAGUGGAGGAGGGGGCCGGCCGGGCUCAUGGGGUGCGCCCCAAGGGGGAAUCCUACUCCUACUAGGAGUAGGUUCCCCCCCUUUCGUAGUCCAACUAGGAGGGGAAGGAAAGGGAAGAGGGAGAGAAGGAAAGGGGACGGGGGGCGGCCCCCCUCCCAAUUCGGAUUGGGCUUGGGGGGUCCGCCCCUCCACUUGGCCGCCUCCUCCUCUCUUUCACUAAAACCCAUGAAGGCCCAUUAACCCNNNNNNNNNNNNNNNNNNNNNNNNNNNNNNNNNNNNNNNNNNNNNNNNNNNNNNNNNNNNNNNNNNNNNNNNNNNNNNNNNNNNNNNNNNNNNNNNNNNNNNNNNNNNNNNNNNNNNNNNNNNNNNNNNNNNNNNNNNNNNNNNNNNNNNNNNNNNNNNNNNNNNNNNNNNNNNNNNNNNNNNNNNNNNNNNNNNNNNNNNNNNNNNNNNNNNNNNNNNNNNNNNNNNNNNNNNNNNNNNNNNNNNNNNNNNNNNNNNNNNNNNNNNNNNNNNNNNNNNNNNNNNNNNNNAGACUCAUCGUCAUGUCCGUGAUCACAUCCGGGACUCCGAACAACCUUCGGUACAUCAAAUCACAUAACUCACAAUACAUAUCGUCAUUGAACAUUAAGCGUGCGGACCCUACGGGUUCGAGAAGUAUGUAGACAUGACGAGACUCAUCUCCGGUCACCAAUAGCGGAACCUGGAUGCUCAUAUUGAUUCCUACAUAUUCUAUGAAGAUCUUUAUCGGUCAAACCGCAUAACAGCAUACGUUGUUCCCUUUGUCAUCGCUAUGUUACUUGCCCGAGAUUCGAUCGUCGGUAUGAUCAUACCUAGUUCAAUCUCGUUACCGGCAAGUCUCUUUACUCGUUCCGUAAUGCAUCAUCCCGCAACUAACUCAUUAGUUACAUUGCUUGCAAGGCUUAUAGUGAUGUGCAUUACUGAGAGGGCCCAGAGAUACCUCUCCGAGAAUCGGAGUGACAAAUCCUAAUCUCAAUCUAUGCCAACUCAACAAACACCAUCGGAGACACCUGUAGAGCAUCUUUAUAAUCACCCAGUUACGUUGUACGUUUGAUAGCACACUAAGUGUUCCUACGGUAUUUGGGAGUUGCAUAAUCUCAUUAGUCAUAGGAACAUGUAUAAGUCAAGAAGAAAGCAAUAGCAAUAAACUAAACGAUCAUAAUACUAAGCUAAUGGAUGGGUCAUGCCAAUCACAUCAUUCUCUAAUGAUGUGACUCCGUUCAUCAAAUGACAACUCAUGUCUAUGGCUAGGAAACUUUAACCAUAUUUGAUUAACGAGCUAGUUAAGUAGAGGCAUACUAGUGACACUCUGUUUGUGUAUGUAUUCACACAUGUACUAAGUUUCCGGUUAAUACAAUUAUAGCAUGAAUAAUAAACAUUUAUCAUGAUAUAAGAAAAUAUAAAUAACAACUUUAUUAUGGCCUCUGGGACAUAUUUCCUUCACCAUCUUCAAAGACGUAGGACAUUGGAACAUAAUGCCCAUUCUUGGGACGUGGAGUAUUUGCUCCCGAGCUCAAAUGCUCCUUGAUAAACAGUAAAAUUGGAAAAAAGAGAGUAAAACAAUUCAAAAUUCUGCAUUUUUUGUGAUAAACUUUAGCAAAUGUUUUGUAUGCUUGUAAUAUUUCAGCACGAAAUAACAUUCUUGGAAGUUGUGGAAAAGAACAAAAUGGUUGUUCCAAAAAUGCUAGUUUUCAAAGCAUUUUAGAGUGUUGAUUUUUUGCCACGCCUUCCACGAAUGUCAUUUCGUGCUGAAAUUUUGCAAGCAUACAAAACAUAUGUAGAAAUUUACCACAAAAAAUUUCAGAAUUUUUUACUUCUUUACUAUUUUUGUCGAUUUUACUGUUCAUUAUGGAGCAUUUGAGCCCGGGAUCGGAAAAGGACUUUCACCAUUCUUACUAGUAUAUAGGCGUCCCCAUCUUUUCUUAGCAGCAGGGUGGCGCACAUCAAUAGGUGUUUUAACGUAAAAGCACAUCAUCAAUCAAAGUUAGUGAUCAAAAUUCACAACAUGCCUACAUCUUUUAGUCGUCUCUCUUCAGAAGCAAGUCCUUGUAUUGUGAGGGAUGUUAUCACCAUGUCAAGUGUGAUGCCUUUCACACUACUCUUUGUAAAGUACCGUUAAUGCAAUAAAAUACUUUCUGUGCUCCAAUAAAAACCGGAUAUAGCGGCCUAGACUAGAAACGGCGAUAUGCGGAUGCUGUAGAGCACACACUCAAGGUGUAUCCUCCGAAUCUUCAGUUCUUCACAGCGGAACUUGCCAGCAAAUGCAACCACCGCUGACCUCCAUGCAAGGCGCGAACUUCUCAAAAUUUCAAAAUUGUUCUUGAUUUAAAAAUUAUUCAUACUUAAAAAAUGAUUCUAUUUAAAAUAAUGUUCUCAAUAUUUUCAAAAAUGUUUGCAAUUUUGGAACUAGUUCCAAAAUUUUAAAAUGGGCACAUUUUAAAUUUCGCAAGUUCUAAAAAUGUUCACAGAGUUUAAAAAAUAGUUCGCUUUCUAAGAGACUUACUUUUGAGUUUUGUCUUAAAGAUAAACAAAAAAACCAACGAAGAAACGACACAGUGACCGAGUCUCGACAGUAAUCGAGUCCUUACAACAAGUAAGUAAUAACUACAGUGCCAUGGAAAUGGGCCAGCCCUGUUGUGCGUCAAAUAUUCGGCUAUUCGCACCACGACAGCUAUAUCUCGCUUAUAGCGAGAAUAGCUCUCGCCUAGCUGAAGGUUUUCCCAUCUCAACUGUUUCUGGGCCGGCCCAUUUUUGUUCUUUUUCGUUCGCUCUUUCUUGUUUACUCGAUCGGUCGCAUGUCCUCCGAUGGUUCUCGUUCAGUUUUCAUUUUUUUUCCAAUUUAUUUUUAUUUGUUCUUUUAGUUUUCUUUGUUCUCAAGGAUUUCUUCGGUUUUUUUGUUUUCCAUUGGGUUUCUCUGUGUUUUCUUGGUUUUCUCGGUUUUCAUAGGUAUUCUGUUGUUUCUUUCUUUUUCAUACGAUUUCUUUGGUUCAUUUUAUCCUUCUCAGUUUUCACUGAUUUUAUUUUCAUUCUUUCUUUCAAUGCUUCUGUUUUUCCCUUUUUUGGUUUCAUAUUGUUUUCUUUUUCGUGUUUCCAUUCUUUUUGCACUUGUUCCUUUGAUUUUUGUUUUUUACUUUGUCUCCUUUGUUUCUUUUGCUUACAGUGUUCUUUGUUUAUUUUUGUUUUCAUUCUUCAUUUUUCAUAUUCGUCAAUAACAUUUUUCUAAUACACGUUCAACAUUUUUGAAUAGAAAUUUAACAUAUUUUAUAAUACGUGGUCGAUUUUUUUUCUAUCCACAUUUUAAACAUUUUCUAAGUGCUUAAUAAAAACAAAUAAUACAUGGUCAGCAUAUUCUCUAUUCACAUUUUAAAUUUUUUAAAUGCUUGACUAAAUUUUUUAAAUACAACAUUAAAAUUUUUCCAGACAAGGUCAACAUUUUUCUACAUAUCUAACAUUUUUCAAAUGUUUAUUUAAUAAUUUUCAAACACUUAUUUAACAUAUGCUUUUCAAAUGCUUGAUUACCAUUUUUAAAUACAUGAUCACAUUUUUUCAGACAUAUUGGAUAUUUUUUCGUACACAUUUUACAAUAUACAUGAGAAACGUUUUCUUUAUAGUUUAUACACAUUUAAUAUUUUCCAAAUGCUUGGUUAACAUUUUUUGACUACAUGGUCAACAUUUUUNNNNNNNNNNNNNNNNNNNNNNNNNNNNNNNNNNNNNNNNNNNNNNNNNNNNNNNNNNNNNNNNNNNNNNNNNNNNNNNNNNNNNNNNNNNNNNNNNNNNNNNNNNNNNNNNNNNNNNNNNNNNNNNNNNNNNNNNNNNNNNNNNNNNNNNNNNNNNNNNNNNNNNNNNNNNNNNNNNNNNNNNNNNNNNNNNNNNNNNNNNNNNNNNNNNNNNNNNNNNNNNNNNNNNNNNNNNNNNNNNNNNNNNNNNNNNNNUUUAAAUACAAGCUUGGCAUUUUUAAAUUACUUGGUCGACAUUUGUUCUCUGCACAUUUAAAGUUUUCAAAUGCUUGUUUAUUUUUUCCAAUAAUUGUUUAGUAUUUUUUCAAAUGCUUGAUUAACAUUUUUUAAUACAUGAUCAACUGUUUUCACACAUACUGUAUAUUUUUGUAUAUAUUAUAUAUAUAUAUUAUAAACAUGAGAAAUAUUUUAUUUAUACACAUUUAAUAAUUUUCAAUUAUUUGGUUGAUAUUUUUCAGAUGUUUUUAUGUAAAGAUCUUUUCUUAAUAUAUUUAUUUAAAGUAUUUGGAACUGUAAUAAAAAUUAAAGAAAAGGAAAAGAGAUGAACAUAAAUUAAAAAACGAGACUGUGGUCUCCUGCGCGCCUGGACUGCCGCAUUCAGUGAGAAGCCUGACGCAAGAGCACGCUAGGUCUUGUAGUAAGCAAGACAUAGCGGUGCCCUAUUCGCACAGUGAAGGGAGCGAGUAGAGUGGGCCAGCGUUUUAAUUGGCUAGCGUAGAUUCUGUUUUGGGAAUCUUUCAGAAGGUUCUGAUCCUGUUCUUUUUAGUUACCCCUAAAAAUGUUCUUGUUUGUGUCUUUCUUUGUCAGGUUUUAUAGUUUUCAUAUAUUAUUUUCAGGUUUUGUUUUAUUUUCUGAAAAUGCUUGUAAUCUUAUAAAAUAUUUAUGGUUUGUAUUUUUUAAUAAAAAUUUCCAAAAUAUAUUUGAAAUCAAGAAAUGUUUUCAAAGUUUAAGAAAUUGUUGCAAAAAAUUUAAACAUAUUCACAAAAUGUUUAAAAAUUUCACCCUUUUAAAAAGUUAUAUAUUUGAGUUUGCUAAAAACCGAAUGACCCCUCCCCCCCCACUAGAAAUCGGAAAAGCUAAAUGAAAACAAGAGAGAAACCAAAGAAAAGAGGGGGUAAAGUCAUAUUGUUGUACCCCUCACGCGGGGGAAGAAAACAACACGUAAGAGCGAACCGGGCCUGUGGCCUAUUAACUGCGCCAUGUGCACCACGCGCCCUAGUUGAUGCAAAAUGCAUCAUAUAGGGGCCAUUGGUCUAGCUUGAGAAGGAUGCAUUUUUAACCUAAAGUCUAGCAUUGGCACGUAGGGCCUUUUGUUUUUUCUAGGAAUUUGGUUGAGUAUAAUUGUGCAUUUUUCAGACAACGACUGUUUGAUUUUUAUAGGACUAAAUGAUACACGGUAUUUUUUUCACUCUAUUUCAUAAAAAAUAGUACCCACCAAAAUCUCUUGGAAAGAAUCCUUCAUAUUUUUUCCGCUGGUAGUCACGCUGGGUGGGUCCUACUCGGGAGCUGUUGGAAAAAACUAAAACCUAAAAAACCAAUGUUAGGUGGACCUUCUUACAUACUUAAUUAACAGUUAAAAUAAUUAUAUAGCACACCAUAGUCCAUGAAAUUAAUUGUAUCAUGAUGUAGGACCCUUCUUUUGGUAAGCUCGCGAGGGUUUCAUGCAUUUACUCAUGAUUAGUUCAUCAUAUAGGGAUAAGCGACAAGCCUUUUAUAUUUGAUAUUUUUUUUGUUUUUUGACAAAAAGACUGUAAGGGAGGCCCCUACAGUAUAAUUGGUGCAACAAACCCAAAUUGCAAGUACCAUGCCUUGAAUCUGGGUGGGUGGGAAGGCAUCAACCCCUUCCCACCACUAGGCUAUGCCUUAGUUGCCCUUUUUUGAAUUAUGCCAAGUUUAUCCGAAUGAAGGCAGUAUGUAAUAGAGACAACUCCAUCUGCACUCCACACUGUUAUGAAGACAAAAAUGGUAUUAAGUGGUUAUUUGUACAAUUGUCUUUGAAAAUCUCAUCUCCUACUUACAUUUUACUCUAAAAGACUCAUACAACAGGAAAUUAUAUAUUCUUAUACUUCCAUAAGGUUUGUAAUUUUUGGGGGAAUCUCCCAUCUACCAAGUGGUCACAGACAAGGCUUAGUAGUCCUGUUAACAAUAUUUAUUUCUUAGCAUCUCGGGCCAAUGUCAAAUGAUUGGCUUUCCAACUACUUAUUUUGCCAUAUAUUUUUCAUAGUUAUUCUAUUACUAGAUAAUUGCAUGUGUAUUGAAGCAAGAUACAUUAUUUGCACGUCACCCAUGCCUCAUGAUAAAGAACAUUUUUAUUCACUCAUAAUGUCACAUCUAGAGAAUAAUCUCACGAUAAAAAACAUUUUUAUUGACUCAUAAUGUAGUGUCUACAAAAUACAAUCGCCAUGAGCACACAGACUUUGCAUGACUAGUACGCACACAAGCAACACCAACACACAGAUGCCCCCCCCCACACCCACCCACCCACCCACACACACACACACAAAGCAAGAAAACAAAAAACACAAAAUCCAAAAGUCCCAAGGCGAACUGAAACAUGUGGAAACAACCAUCAACAUCAACCACCAUUGAUGACAACAACUAAGAUAUGUGAAAGAUGCUUCAACAAUGACACCUUUAAGAAGUAACAAAACCCAUCUAAUGCCGUCAUCAAAUCCAGCCAUGGACACUAGAUCACGGGUUUUCGUCCUGAAGAAAAAUCCAAACAAACUCCGGACAAUGCCUUCAACAAGGGAAUGCCAUGAACACUAUCAUUGACAGGUACAAAUGAAGCAUUUGAAACCUGAAGCUUUCACUCGAAAGCAUGUGAGACUUUAGUAAAAAGCACCACCAAACUCACAUCAUCCCGUACCGCCAUUCCCACUUGCAAUGAAAGGAGCCACCGUUGCAAGCUAGGCCUUCACACCUCGACAAGAGUAUAUGCUUGCAACAUGCCCUCCAUUUAGCGUCACUAUUUGUUAUUAUAAUUUACUCUUUAUCAAUGAUAUUUUUCAUAUUAUUGCUCAAUUCUAAUGCCCUUUUCUCACUGAUUUGUAUGUAAUACACGGAGAGGAAAAUUCUUAGGAAUUUAGCGGGCAGCUGGAAAUCAGGGUAAAAUAUACAACAGAAGAAAAGUGUUGUCCACGUACCCUCGUAGACCGUAAACGGAAGCGUUAUGACAGCGCGGUUGAUGUAGUCGUACGUCUUCAUGAUUCGUCCGAUCCUAGUACCGAAAGUACGACACCUCCGUGAUCUGCACGCUUCGACUCAGUGACGUCCCACGAACUCUCGAUCCAGCUAAGUGUCGAGGGAGAGCUUCGUCAGCACGACGGUGUGAUGAUGAAGCUACCGGCGCAGGGCUUCGCCUAAGCAGUACGACGAUAUGACCGAGGUGGAUUAUGGUGGAGGGGGGCACCGCACACGGCUAAGAGAUCAAUGAUCAAAUUGUGUGUCCUAGGGUGCCUCCUGCCCCCGUAUAUAAAGGAGCAAGGGGGGAGGCCGGCCGGCCCUUGGGGCGCGCCAGGAGAGGAGGAGUCCUCCUAGUAGGAGUAGGACUUCCCUUUCCUAUUCUUACUAGGAGGAGGAAAGGAAGGAGGAGAGGGAGAAGGAAAGGGGGGCGCCGUCCCCCCAUCCCUAGUCCAAUUCGGACUAGAGGGGGGGCGCGGCCUGCCCUGGCUGGCCCUCUCUGUAUCUCNNNNNNNNNNNNNNNNNNNNNNNNNNNNNNNNNNNNNNNNNNNNNNNNNNNNNNNNNNNNNNNNNNNNNNNNNNNNNNNNNNNNNNNNNNNNNNNNNNNNNNNNNNNNNNNNNNNNNNNNNNNNNNNNNNNNNNNNNNNNNNNNNNNNNNNNNNNNNNNNNNNNNNNNNNNNNNNNNNNNNNNNNNNNNNNNNNNNNNNNNNNNNNNNNNNNNNNNNNNNNNNNNNNNNNNNNNNNNNNNNNNNNNNNNNNNNNNNNNNNNNNNCUUCCGGUGUCCGAAUAUAGUCGUCCAAUAUAUCAAUCUUUAUGUCUCGACCAUUUCGAGACUCCUCGUCAUGUACGUGAUCAUAUCCGAGACUUUGAACUACCUCUAGUACAUCAAAACACAUAAACUCGUAAUACCGAUCGUCACCGAACGUUAAGUGUGCGGACCCUACUGGUUCGAGAACUAUGUAGACAUGAUCGAGACUCAUCUCUGGUCAAUAACCAAUAGCGGAACCUCGAUGCUCAUAUUGGUUCCUACAUAUUCUACGAAGAUCUUCAUCGGUCAAACCGCACAACAACAUACGUUGUUCACUUUGUCAUCGGUAUGUUACUUGCCCGAGAUUCGAUCGUCGGUAUCUCAAUACCUAGUUCAAUCUUGUUACCGACAAGUCUCUUUACUCGUUCUGUAAUGCAUCAUCCCACAACUAACUCAUUAGUCACAUUGCUUGCAAGGUUUAUAGUGAUGUGCAUUAUCGAGAGGGCCCAGAGAUACCUCUCCGAUACACGGAGUGACAAAUCCUAAUCUCGAUCUAUGCCAACUCAACAAACACCAUCGGAGACACCUGUACAUCAUCUUUAUAGUCACCCAGUUACGUUGUGACAUUUGAUAGCACACUAAGUGUUCCUCCGGUAUUCGGGAGUUGCAUGAUCUCAUAGUCAUAGAACAUUUAUAAGUUAUGGAGAAAGCAAUAGCAGUAAACUAAACGAUCAUCGUGCUAAGUUAACGGAUGGAUCAAAUCAAUCACAUCAUUCUCUAAUGAUGUGAUCCCGUUAAUCAAAUGACAACUCAUGUCUAUGAUUAGGAAACAUAACCAUCAUUGAUUCAACGAGCUAGUCAAGUAGAGGCAUACUAGUGACAUAUUGUUUGUCUAUGUAUUCAACAUGUACUAAGUUUCUGGUUAAUACAAUUCUAGCAUGAAUAAUAAACUUUUAUCAUGAUAUAAAUAAAUAUAAAUAACAACUUUAUUAUUGCCUCUAGGGCAUAUUUCCUUCACUUGAGACCUCUCGAAGGAUUGAAAGCUUCAAGAAUUUCACCAUUGCAUUUAACGGGGUACCAUAUCAAGCACACACAACUCCUCAACCCAUCUAGUCCAUCUCUCACAGAAACCAAUCUAAGUAAAGACUCAAGGAAUCUCAAGUCGACGUGAUCGUACACCUUAGCGGAAUGAAGCUUGUAGGCGCAAUGGGUGUUCUGAGGGUUCCUUGUGUGAUGGAUCUUAUGAAUUUUUUUGAGAGCGAUCAUCCUCCCUAGAGUGAAUGCAAUCUUAUGAAAACACUUCAACCGAUCAUAGCAUUCUCAGUGAUCAUCCUCCCUAUGGAAUGAAUGCAAUAUUGUGAAAACACUUGAAACUGAUCAUAGCAUUAUCAAUGAUCAUCCCCUGGAAUGAAGGCGUUUUGAGUUUCAGAAAUAAUCUCAUCAAGGAGAGGGCGUAACUGGUUAACCAUGCACUUUGAGACCACCUUGUUAUAAUAUGGCUAUUUGGGUGGUAAUCUAUCAUGCACCUCAAGACCACCUUGUAAAUAACGCCACAGAGGCUGAUUGGGUUGUAAUCUUUCAAAAAUUGCGGAUUAAUUCAUUUAGGAAUUGUUAGAGUAUAUAGGCAUAUCCCUGUAUGUGGUAGACUAUAAUUUGUAAUUAUCUUCAGCCUUAUCUCUAGGGGAGACUUCCUGCUGUUCAAGCCUUGUACUCUAUAUAAAUCGCCCGAGAGGCUCAAUACAAUAUCCAUCGAUUCCAUCAAUCCUCUCCUUCUAUUCCCUGUAUCAUUGACUUGCUUUGGCAUCACACCCUCUUAAAAAACCUGCACUGCACUACUUCCUUGUUUAGCGUGUUACAAUUCCGCUGAAGGAGCCAAACGGGUCCACGGCGGAAACCCCCUCCGCCCCGUGUCGCCUUCCCCUGGCGACACGGGGGAAACCCUGACAGCCGCCGCCGUAAGGCCUCUCCUCCUCCUGCCCCCGCAUCGCCGCCGCCAAAGGGCGGGCCGGCGAAGCCGCGCCGCGCCCCGGGAUGGCGGCGGCGGGGCGGAUCCACUUCCCCGCGCGCGGCGCCACCCCUUCCCCACGUCCCCGAGAACCAGAUGCGGCGUCCUCCACCCCCCCCUUUGGCUGCUACCCCUGCCGGUCCGGCGGCCGUCCAGUGGCGGGCGUCCGGCAGCGUGCCAUGGGGCAUCCUGGCUGCUCCUCCCCCGCCGCCCCCGCUAUGGCGCAGCCAUGUUGGCCUCGGGUUGGUGCGGUUCUGUGUCCAGGUGCGGGCUGGCCUCGAUUGGCCGGACCUCGUCUCCGGUGGUGCUCCUCCCUCCCUCGAGCUGCAGUGACGGCUCCACCAUGGUGGCUUGUUGAGGUUACGGUGGUUGCAUCCCCAACGGCGGCUGCCUUUGACGGUGCGUCAGCCUGGCGGCUUGGUGGACGAGUGGCACCCUGCAGUGAGUUUGCCGGCGUUGUUCCGGCCCUGAUGGCCUUGGACCUGCGUUCUCCGGUGUCCGUGGCCUGCGGCGCCUCUGCCGACGCCGCUCCGGCCCCAAUGACCAAGUAGCCGCAUUCUCCUCUAGCAUACUCUGCUCGUCGAUGUCCUGUUGGCUAUGGCCCCGAUAGCUGGGAUGUGCGUUCCUCCAGCUCCUAGCUUGCCGGCGUCGCCGGUUGCCGAUGAUUACUCCCUGCAGAUUUUUCUCUGCCUCCUCGCGUCCUCGACGCCGUAUACCUCCACGCCUCACCUUGAGCCAGAACCAAUGGUCGUGUGUCCGAUGGCGCACUGUGCCAUCCUCCAGCGGCAGGUGCAACCCCACCGACCCUUUCUUGACGUGACAGUUUCGACCGGCAGUGACUUCCUCAUCAUAGAGUCCAUAUUCGAUGGCUAUGGGAUAUCUUAGACUCAGGCCAAGGAGAAAUCCUUGCUCGGCUAGCCCGUGCUAGCAGCGGCGUCAUUCACGGGUGUUGUUUUCCCUUCUUGAAGGCGCUGUCAUGGCCUUCAUCUGUGCCCCUCUUCGAGCUCAGGGGAAACCCUAGGUCCGGUUCUCCGGAUCGGAUGGCGCCGGCGUCUCGGCGCCGUUCUCCUUCUUGAAGGCGCUAUCUUGUUCGCUUGUGGUUGUCCCUGGUGGUGACUUUGCCGAUGUUAAAUCCAUUACUUGUUCGGUCUGCCUCUCUUGUUGGGUCUUGAUGGGUUUAGCUGUGUGUAUCCUCUGUUCUGGACCAAGCAUCCCUUGUUCCUUUGCUCCGUGCAGCAUGUUCGCACCUUCUUGCAUUUGUGUCAUGUAUUCUACCUAACUUUGUACCCAUUCUAUUUCCUUCUAUCAAUGAAAGAUACGUAAGCUUUGCGUAUUCGCGAAAAAAGCAAUUCCACUGAAAAAAUCGAGCUGGGAAACCACCCCCUCUCCCCACACCCGCCAUUCUAAGGCGAUAUAUCUCGCGUCUAUGGAAGCUCAUUUCCGAGACAUGAUAACCGCUGGAGGACACUCCAUGUAAUGCUCUAAAUGAAAAUUAGACAAGCCAUCUUCACACAAGGAAACCAACAUCGCUACGUGGGGCUAUAAACCGAGCUAAACAAGAAAAAAAUGAAAAGGUAGCAGAUGAAGGCACAUAUCCACGCGUAUUGUUGCAUGUGAUCUGUGAGUUAGAUCACCGGUUCUUCCAAGAUAUAUACUACAACUCAAAAAAAGAAAAGAUACUACGUCCAAACCUCUUGAACGUCAGUAAUUUGCACAGCACGCGAAAGACUAGCGUGAAUCGCGCGCGCAUCUCCCAUGUCCUAGGAAGAUCACAUCCCCAUGCGUAGUUACCAACCACAAGCCCACGAUAUGGGAUCUCCCAAAUCUGCACUGAUCUAGGCUUAAGCACCUUCCGAUCUCAUUUUUCAACGCAUUAAGCACCCCCGGGAUAUGGAUAGAUCACAUCACUUGCAUCGCACGUAUGCAACCUGCGAGGCUGCGAUUACCCCGAUGCAGUCCUCACGCGCCGGUCGAAAUGCGCCAACGAUUCACGAGGCGGAGGCAACUAAUUAAACUCGGAUCGAUCGAUCGAUCUAGGAGUACUUACUCAUCUGCGGAUAUAUAUUGAUCCGCGGAUCUUCAAGUCCUUGCAUAAUCUACGUGCAGAUCAGGCUAUGAUCCUGAUACGAUUUCUCCGCUUCCCAGCUGCCUCCCGUUUUGUAUAUGCAUAUUGCUGAGGCUCUUUCCGCUGUCACGGAGUACGUCAACUACACGAGUUGGCGAUUUUGUUAAUGAUUAGCAGCCCAAGAUGGCUGGGCCUGGGCGUACUCGGGCGCAUGAUGGGAUCGAAUCAUGUAUGCUUGUGCAUGCUAGCUAGCUGUGACAGUGAUGCCGACGCAAAUUGCAGGGCUCGCGACAAGCGUGGAUCCCCUUUAAAACACCCUCACCCAACGCGUGGGCACUAUCAUAUUGUCCACAACCCCUGUUGGCCAGGAGCUCCACGAGUGGCCAUCUCCCACCAGAUCUUCAUAUACAGCCACUGACAUGUGAGCCGGGUGGAUCCAAUUUAAAAUCUCCGCGGAGGGAAAGACAUCCAGGCUCGGUAUUUUAAUUUUAAUGGACACGAUCGCGCGAUCAAGGGGGGAAAAGUCACGUCCUACUUGGCGAGGGCGAUCGUUCUUGGAAGCUGGAGAUGUGGCUUAGAAAAUCGCCGCGGCAGAUCGGCCUGAAUCUUUCCAAGGAUCUCGUCCAGCUAGCGCCCCGUCGACGAUGGAUCACCAAUAAUCAAUGGCGCCCUCAUGGACUCCUACUUGUAUAUAUAUGCGCGCCCUGCUGGCUGUCGCUGUUGGUGAGUCGCCAUCGUCGGUGUAUAUAAACGCAUUGUUGCAUAGCACGCGGGUGAUACUAUAUGGGGAGCAGCAGCGUCGACGGAGCCGGCGAGAUGUGCUUGGAGGCUGGCGCCGGCAGGGCGGGGAGGCGCGGCGGGAAGAAGGCGGCGGAGAUGAAGGCCGCCAAGCAGCCGCAGCGCGGGCUCGGCGUCGCGCAGCUGGAGAAGAUCCGGAUGCAGAACCAGAUGAUCGCCGCGUACCGCUCCGGCCUGCCUCCGCCGCCUCCGCCGCAGCAGGUGCCGUACGCCGCAGUCCCGACGGCCGGCGCCGCAUCGUCUUUCCAGCCCUAUCUAGCUGUAAGUACCUACUUGAAAAUCGAAAUGCUGCAUGCAUCAGAUGACAUGUAUGCGUAGCUUAAGCUUACCUUUGUGCGCGCGCGUGGUUUCUCAGGGUUGCUUUGAGGCGAUGGACCGGAGGAUCGCUGACGUGCAGUACAGCCAGUACUACGCGGAGAACCUGCUGCCUAACAGCUCCAGCCGGCCGCCGUCGACGUCGCCGCUCUUCGUCGUCCAUGACUCGUCGUCGUCAGGACAGAGGCAGCAGCAGACGCCUCACGAGUACGACUACUGGAUGCGCCACAGCCACGAGUCCAGCGGCCGCGGCGGCGCCGGAAGCACGGAAGAGCUAGAUCUGGAGCUGAGGCUGUAGGAGACGCCACGGUGAGCUCGAUAGAUCGAAGUGUCUACUCUAAUUAAUCAUGUGUCCGUGCAUGCAUGGGCGAAGCGCCAUGCGGGAGAGAGGGAGAGGAUCAGAGGAGGGGCUUAGAAUUAGAUUGAUCGAUUAGCUAUCAAACUGGCGGUGCCAGAGUUAGCUGCUGCUUAAUUUGCUGACGGAAUGGCUGAUGCUUUCGUUCUGGAACUGUGGGAUGACUGAUAAACGUACGCUGCCACGCGCGACCGAUACAUGCAUGUAAAUCUUGUUUAACACCUUAUUAAUUGAAAUGGUUACCAGUUUGUAGAGGAAACUUUACAUACAUGUGUUGCGUAGUACUUUCAAAUUGAUUUCAGACGGGGGAAUUUAAGCGGCCUAUAUGGCUGUGAUGUGCCUGUACUUGGGUCCAUCACUCUUUUCCUUCUUUUCUUUUCUUACCAGCAAACAUGUCUGUCCGUUGUAUCGGGAGAAAAAAUAUCUCAUGCCCCUGGCUCCAUAAGCAUAGUUCAAUACCCUCCUUCCAACAGAUCCAUAUUCUUUAUUAAAAAAAUCGUCCCACUCGUGUCGUCGCUUAUCCUCAUUCUCGUCCUUGCCGACUAUGACCAAGGUAUCAUCCGAAUGUGCUCAAUCUCAAGGUGAUAGGCUCGGCCAGCACACGACACACCUGUCGUUGAACCGAGCUGGCAUAAGAGAAUGUUUAUAACUUCAAAUUAAUCUAGUCGAGUUGGACGUGAGUGCCAUCCCCAACGAGCUACUCCCUACACUCGAUGCAUGUGCACGACUACAUAUUUGCAAGGAACUCGACUAUCCUAAAAGACGUGUAAGUUAAUAAGACAUGGAGUAGUUGAAGCAGUUUUCAAGAAAAAACGGUCAAAAAAUCGGCAAAACCUAAAAUGGUGGAGGUGAGGUGGGAGAGAGGGAGUGCCGAGGAAAGAAAGAAGCACAUGAUAGAACCCUGCAUAUUCUUAGUUCUUACUUAAUCUUAUAACAAUAUAAUGACAGGUAAAUCAUGUUGAUUGCAUAUAAAAUAUUUAUGCCCCAUUGCUUCACACAUACAUUUUUUUUCUCUCUGGCGCAACAUAACUCUUAUGAGCCAAAAAUACGGAGGCGGUCCAACCCGGAAAGAGAGGAAGAAAAAACAAGUAAAGGCAUGUUCCAUCUUAUUACUCAUUGCCUAGCUCACAUGAUCUUUAUGCUACAAUUUUUCUGUCGCGAUGUAGCACAAAACAAUUAUUUUGAUAGUGUGGCUAGCCCAUAUGCUCGAUUUUCAACACAGACGGCAAGGUAAUAAAGCCUUGUUCUUCUAAAAAGAAUGAAUACGUAUGCAACACCUCCUUUUUCUUAACAUUUUGAUGAACUUCUGAAUUUCAUUGUAAUAAUUAAAAUCUACUAACAUCAACGAAAAGAAUGAAUACGUAUGCAACACCUCCUUUUUCUUAACAUUUUGAUGAACUUCUGAAUUUCAUUGUAAUAAUUAAAAUCUACUAACAUCAACGGGUUGUGGAUCUUGGAAACUAAUCGUGUUGCGUACUUGCGGAGCGAGGUAACAAUUUUCUAAACCAUAGAAUAAUGGGAAGGUUCAGGCUCCUCCUUCAUGAUCUUAACCUCAAGGAAUCUCCUCUGAUGGGAAGGCGGUACAUGUGGAGUAACGAGCAUCGUGCUCCUACGCUUGAAAAGAUUGAUCGCUGGUUCUCUACCAUUGAGUGGGACUUGACACAUCCAGAUUGUCUGAUGCAGGCCCUCUCCACGUCCAUCCAAUCAUUGCCCAUUAUUGAUCUCGACCAAUGUUGCGUUCUAUCGCAAAUCCCGGUUUCACUUCCAAUCGUUUUAGAUCAAGAUGGUGGGUUUUCAGAACAUCAUGGUUGAAGGUUUGCACUCCGUCUGGCCACAUAGUGAUCCUUUUGUGGAUCUUGUUGAUGGUGCACUACACCGGGGUGGCCCAGAGGCUAGGAAGCCCGACAGUGGGUUGGCCUCAGGGCUAAGGAGGCCUGAAGGAGGUCUAGCAGCCCGGGGGGCCUAGUUGGAGACCAAAAGACCAUCUUAGCGUUCAAGCUAAGAUGGCGGCCGCAUGAGAUCAGAUAGGUUCCGUGUAAACCCUAGCCCCUAUAUAAGGCGGGGCUAGGGGUAGCCAUUCCCAUAUACUCUGGUAGACUAGACUCUCGGUAGUCAUAUUCAUCAUCCUUGUAACUUCCUCGCACGAGGUGCUCCAUCAUCAAUAUAGAACAAUAAGAAUGAUGAUGACAUAGGGUAUUACCUCACUAUGAGGGUCUGGAACCUUGGUAACCCCCUUAUGCGAACCCCCUUAAAGCAUUUUCAGCCAAGCUAGCCACCGAUGACCCACAAGUAUAGGGGAUCGAUCAUGGUCCUUUUGAUGAGUAAGAGUAUCAAAUCCAACGAGGAGCAGAUGGAAUUGACAAGCGGUUUUCAACAAGGUUUCACUUCAAGUGUUGUAAGAUAAUUUCGAUAGACAGUUUGACAACAAGAUAGUUUGAACAAGGUAGCAAGUAACAAUAGUAACAAAGUGUGGCAAGUGGUCCAAUCCUUUAUUGUGCUAAGGACAAGCCGGCGAUACUUCUUAUAGUGAGUAAAACGCUCUUAAGGACACAUAGGAAUAUCGCCAAGUUACUUUUACCACGAUUCAUUGAGUUGAUGUUCAUUGCCUUGAUACGUCUUACGUAGGUGGACCGAGAUAAGGUAAUGUCCUUACUUGAACAAACACCUACUUAUGAUUAUACCAUGCAAGAAGCCGCAACUACAAAAGAAGUAAUUAAGAUAAAUCUAACCAUAGCAUUAAGCAAUUGGAUCCAGAACAACCCCUUACGAAAUAAUUCAUAAACUAGGGUUUAGGUUUCUAACACUCCCACAACCCAUCAUCUACAAACUAAUUCCACAAUGCCUUACCCUAGGCCCAAAGAUGGCGAGGUGUCAUGUAGUCGACGUUCACAUAACAUCACCAGAGGAACAAGAACACAACAUAAUAUCAAAACAAUGAACAGGAAUCAAAUUCACAUGAUUACUCACUACUGCAGGAUGCUGCUAACGCGAUACUAUAAUCAGAGACCCUUCGAUGAAACUGUGUGCGAUGCAAUAAUCGCAAACGUUGGUGUAAAAGAACCGUCAAAAAAGGUGCAAAAUGUUUGUGCUGGAGGAUGCAUCAAACAUGGUUCAGAUUUUAGUUGCGUGUGCGAUGCAGGGCAUACGGUUCAGUUCAAUGAACUAUUUGCGAUGAGGCGAAAGAAAAGAAACAGGUAGCCAUAUGAAGGCGUGUGCAAUAUACAACAUACGGUUCACUCGGAUGAACUGUUUGUGAUUAGGUAACACAAAAGAAGCAGUCAGCCAUAUCAAGGUGUGUGCGAUAUACAACAUGCGGUUCACUCGGAUGAACUGUUUGUGUUGAGACAAGAGAACAUAAACGGUUUAAUAUAACAAGAUAUGUGUGAUACGCGGCAAACAGGUUUGUAAUCAGAAAUGUGUGCAAAGACCGAUAAUAACACAGACGGUUGCUGCUAAUAAGACAUGGGUGUGUUGUGCGAUGGGAUUGCAUACAGAACAACAACAACAACACACACACACACACACACACACACACACACACACUUAUAAGGACAUGGUUGCAUAACCAAAUUAGACAUCCGCUUACAUAGGUGGCUACUACAAUUUGCACACACUAAAGUAAACUAUUACAUGCAUAAUUACAUAGGUGGCUACUACACACAUGAUAUUUCCACACACCAAUAAAGUAAACUAUAUAUUACAUGCAUGAUUAACUAGCAUAAACGAUCAUCUGAUCAUUAUCUACUUCUUGUGACGCUUGCUCUGCUUGUGGCUCGAUCCGGGCUCGUCGAUUUGGGUAACGAGGCACUCCCUCAUGUCAACGAUCCGUCUGUGCAUCUCGUAGCAUGUGUACACGCUCUUGGCCGCGAACCUGAGGUGAGGUUCAUCCAGUUGCCGCAUCUAGGCCCUGUGCUAGAAUAUGGGACUUGUUCUCUGGGCAUCCUGCUUCAUCUUUUCGUAGUAGGGUUCGAUGAUGGCUGAGGCGAGUUCGACCAGGGAGUCCUUCUUCGUGCUGCCCCAGACCCUGUAGUGGUCACGGAUUUCGACAAGGUUCUUGCAGGCCAAGCCCGUAACACUGAGCACUUUUACAUCGUCGGUGGUUUCCACCAUGGCGAACUUGUAGUUGGUGCUGUUGACAAACCUGUUGAAAUGGUCGCAAGGCUCUGUGGCCAUGCAGUAGUGGUAGAUAAGGACAUGAUGACGCACGCACAACUGGGCGAUGACAACCUUCUGAUCUAUGCCAGGACGACCGGUGGUGUACUGGAGGUCGAUGCCGACCACAUUGUACUUGUCUCGAGCAAGCAACUGCUCAACGCUGUUGAUGUAGUCGUCCACCACGGCCGGGUCGAUGGUGUACACCACUGAGAGAUCCGUCCCCCUCGCGUGGGUCUCCACUCUAUGCUCGCCGAACUCCAUUGGAGCGCCGCUAGACACCCCCUCUCUAUGUGUCGUCGUGGGUGUGCUUAUUGUGUUGUGGGACGCGAUCAAAAUGUUGAAGAGACUAAGCUUAUAAUGGCGGCGGGAAUUAAAGGGGAAGCCGGGCGGCCAGGAAUAUCGGCAGGCCCUGAUGGCAGUUAUAAUUUGCAGUGCGUAACUCCAUCGUGCCGUACGUAUCUGCAUCGCGUGGCAAUGCGUGGCGCAACCGCAUGCAUAUGGGGUCACCGACGUGAUCGUGCGCACGCCGAACCGCUGGCAGAGCAUGUGCGGAGGGAUUUGAGCAGAGCGCUCUGUGGUUGCCUCAAUGGCGAGCAACCACACACACACACACACACACACACACACACACACACACACACACACACACACACACACAUAUAUAUAUAUAUAUAUAUAUAUAUGCAUAUAGCAGUUGAACACACAAGGAAAAACUGUCCACAAGCCGAGCGCGUCGACGGACGCGAGCAGAGCGCACCGCGGCGCCUAACGGCGAGCAGAGCUUGCCAAGGGACGCGAGCAGAGGCCGGCACAGUGAUACGUGGCAUAUAGGACGAACUGUGCGAGCGAUGAGGGAGACAUCAAGCACGAGUCAGAUUAGAGUUGCGUGUGCGGUACGUGGCAUACAUUUGAUCCAUCCGAGUUGUUUAUGAUGGAAUAAGCCGUGUGUGUUGCGGGCAUACGCUUGCUGGUAUAUAAUCUUAAAUUUAAACAAAAAAGUGUUAAUGCAUGUUACAAAAAUUGUAUAACUGGAAACUAUGUUCAAAUACGAAUCCAACGAUAUAAUCUUUGGCGACAUGCAUUCGUAUUUUAUUAGUUAAAUCCUACUUAUAAACCAGGACUAGGGUAUAGUAGGUAAUUAAAUCGCAAAUGUUUUUUUGUAUUAACCGUAUGUGUACAUGUCCUUUCGUCCUCCUCUCGCAUGUCUUGUCACCCUGCAGCCGCAGAUGGCUUACAUCGCAAGCUUGCGCAGCGCGAGGGGGCGUUCUUUUGGCCAAACAGUGGCUCGAAGUGGCGCCAAUGAAUCAUCGGUGAGCCCAUUCCCGCGCAACCUCACAGGUUCCCGCCCGACUCGGUGAAAUCCGCCAAAAUCCCAAUGCUUUACCGGCCUGCUAUAUAAACCCUCAUGGCCGGCGAGUCCUGUGUCGCAUUUUCCCCUCCCUCCCUGUAGCUUAUCCCGUAUGCUUCUCCCAUAAUCGCCAAUGGCAUCGGUCGGUGUCAUCGUUGCUCAGCCACUACACUGUCAUCAGAGGACAGCUCCAGUUGGGAGGCUACACCGCGGCGGCGGCUCAGUCCCCGGCUUAAUGUAGUGCGUGUGGCGUCCCUAUUGGGUGUGCGUGGAACACCCACCACACGCUCCGCUGCCACUGCCCGUCGGCAGCUGUUGCCCGCCGUUGCCGCCACACCACUGUUGAAAGCCAGGGCCAUCGCCCGCUCCGCCACCGUGGCCCGAAGGCGGGAGGUGGCCGUCGUGGCCGCCACCCCACUGCCGGCCAUCACCCGCUCCACCACCGCGGCCCAAAGGCGGGAGGUGGCCGUCGUGGCCGGCAUCCCAUCAUAGGCCGCUGUGGCCGCCAGCCCACCGUCGACCAUCGGGAUCAUCACCCGCUCCGCCACCAUCACUCGAAGGAGGGAGGCGGAGGAGGAGGCCCGCACGUGCGUCAGCAACCUUGUGCACUACAUCGAGUUCCCGCGGGAGGAGGAGGAGCGCCUUGUCGAGCAUGCAAAGAGCCUUACCGUAGCCGUGGCCGCAGCACACGCCAACGCAGAGGCGAGGAAUCAGGAGAUCUAUGAGCAGUCCGGCCGCUUCGAGAGGGAUCGUCUGGAGCGACAGUGGGCGUUCGAGCUAGCGAGCGUCAUUGAACGUGCAGCAGCGGCAGGCACCAUAUUGCAUUUGUCCAGCUCGUCGAUAGGCUCCUCCUUCUCUGCCUCUUACUGAGCGCGCUCGACAAAGGAGAGGCUGCCGGAAGUAGCACAAAGCCCCUCUGUAGUAGUAGUAUUUAGGGGCUAUUUUGUUUAGUUCAUCUGACUAUAGAUGUGUGGUGGAACUGUACAACAUACUAGUAUAUAUAGUUGAACUAGCUAUUUCAGUACAUGGUUGGCAACAAUUGGGGAAAAGGUUGGUCAGUUCAGCUGUCGAGUUGAACUGUUUGUAUAAAUUAAGAACAACUGCUUAAUCUAUGAAUGAAAUCUAUGCUUAAUUACUGAAUUUUAGUUGCAAAAAUUAGAUAGUACUAGUGAUUUUUAGCUGCAUAUUUUGACAAAUCGCAGUGUUACAAGGAUUGACAAAUGGCAGUGUUACUAGAUCAACAAAUGUCAAUUUUUCCAGUUUGACAAAUGGCAACAUACCCAAUAUGAAAGAUGCAAAUCUUACCAAAUUGUUUGUACGUGGUUGCAUACGGGUCAUCCAAAACAACCGUUUGCGUUGAAGGGAUGCACAAAUCCUGCCUGCAAAUUUUCCCUCGACUUAAGGGGGAAGACUAUAGCUCUCACUUUGCAUACGAGUGUUCUAUCUAAAACAUUUGCGAUCUAGAGCUGCAGAAAUCCUGCUCGGCGCAUUUUCUCUUGGCUUCCUGGGGAAGCUGUCGGUUUGCAUACGGGUGUUCUAACUAAAAAGUUUGCGAUCAAGAGCUGCACAAAUCCUGCUAGGCACAUUUCCCUUGGCUUCCUGGGGAACUUGUCGGUUUUGCAUACGGUGUUCUAACUAAAACGUUUGCGGUGAGUGUUUUAUAUUUAAAAACCGUAUUAAACUGCGGCUUGGGCGCCACUAAUGGAGAGGAUGCGAGCAAGGCGUACGACCAUGGAAGUCAAAGGGCUCGCUUCCCGGUGAGCCUGCACGGCGUACAACUCGCACGCUUCUCGGUGAGCCUCCGCAUUGGAGUACAGCUCGCAUGCCUCCCAUUUAGUCAAGAACUCAAGCAUCUAUCCGCAUGACACCUCCUAGCCAUUAAAAGAGUGAGACGUGGCAUUACGUGAAUGGUUAACAGAAUGCACACAAUUUAAAUUAUACAAAAUGUUUGAGAUGUUACAGUGGCAGCUAUUUGUUUCAAAAUGCCUUUGUCGGCAGUUAUUCGAGUGCGCCUUCUCUCAAAAUGGACAUGAAAAAUACCACAACAUGUCGGGUGCCAUUCCAUUAUAGCAUGCCAAGUUUCAUGAAUUUCAGACGAAUUUUGGAUUUACUAGAAUUUAAAAAUCAAGUAUCUCAACAUUUUGCCGGCAAUCAACACUGCCCUGGUGUUUGAAAUUCAUUUCCAUUUCUUGCAUGGGACCUAAGCAUGCACCAAAGGAAAUAGAUUUGAUUUUCCAACCAAUUUAUAUGCACUGGAGCAUGUGCAUGUAGUUCAAAUUUGAAUUAUGCACAUAAAAUGCCUAGAAAGCCUAGUUCAUGUAUAAAAAUGUCGAAACGAACCCCAAAAAUUCCAGAAUUAAACACAACACUCUUGUUGUUCUACGUUGACACUAGAAAUUUUUUGAAAGCAAUAAGAGACAACAGAUAUCAUUUCGUCCCCAAAGGUGGCACGUUCCCUACCGAAACCAUCACGCUUGUUGUGAGAAGCCCUGGUUUGGGAGAAGCUUAUACCCAAACCUGCCCCAAAUGGGAAAAAUCUUUUACCACAACAUGUUGAUGCUGCUCCAUGAUAGCAUGCCAAGUUUCAUGAAUUUUAGAUGAGUUUUGGAUUUACUAGAAUUUAAAAACCAAAUAUCUCAAUGUUUGCGGCCGAGUGACAGUGGCAGGGUGUUUGAAAUUCAUUCCCAUUUCUUGCAUGGGACCUAAGCAUGCACCGAAGGACACAAAUUUGAUAUUUCAACCAAUUUAUAUGCACUGGAGUAUGUGCAUGUAGUUCCAAUUUGAAUUAUGCACCUAAAAAUGCCUGUAAAACCCAGUUAAUGUAUAAAAAUGUCCAAAUGAACCCCGAAAAAUUCCAAAAUUAAACACAACACUCUUGUUGUUCUAUGUUAACACUAGAAAAUUUUAGAAAGCAAUAAGAGGCAAUGGAUAUCGUUUUGUCCCCAAAGGUGGCACAUUCCCUACCGAAACCAUCACGCUUGUUGUGAGAAGCUCUAGUUUGUGAGAAGCUCUGGUUUGUGAGAAGCUUAUACCCAAACCUGGCCCAAAUGGAAUAAUUUUUUUACCAUGGCAUGUUGAUGCCGCUCCAUGAUAGCAUAUUUCAUGAAUUUCAAACGAGUUUUGGAUUUACUAGAAUCUAAAAACCAAGAUAUCAAUGUUUGCAGCCGAGUGACGGUGAUAGGGUGUUUGAAAUUCAUUUCCAUUUCUUGCGUGGGACCUAAGCAUGCACGGAAGGACACAAAUUUGAUCUUUCAACCAAUUUAUAUGCAUCGGAGCAUGUGCAUGUUGUUCAAAUUUGAAUUAUGCACCUGAAAUGCUUGGAAAACCAAGUUAAUGUAUAAAAAUGUCCAAACAAAGCCCGAAAAAUUCCAAAAUUAAACACAACACUCUUGUUGUUCUAUAUUGACACUAGAAUUUUUUUCAAAGCAAUAAGAGGCAACAGAUAUCGUUUCGUCCCCAAAGGUGGCACGUUCCCUACCGAAACCAUCACGCUUGUUGUGAGAAGCUCUGGUUUAUGAGAAGCUUAUACCCAAACCUGCCCCAAAUGGGACAAAAAUUUUACCACGACAUGUUGAUGCCGCUCCAUGAUAGCAUGCCAAGUUUCACGAAUUUCAGACGAGUUUUGGAUUUACUAGAAUUUAAAAACCAAGUAUCUCACUGUUCGCGGCCGAGUGAUGGUGGCAUGGUGUUUAAAAUUCAUUCCCAUUUCUUACAUGGGACCUAAGCAUGCACCGAAGGACACAAAUUUGAUUUUUCAACCAAUUUAUAUGCACUGGAGCAUGUGCAUGUAGUUCUAAUUUGAAUUAUGCACCUGAAAUGCAAGGAAAACCUAGUUAAUGUAUAAAAAUGUCCAAACGAACCCCGAAAAAUUCAAAAAUUAAACACAACACUCCUGUUGUUCUAUGUUGACACUAGAAAUUUUUUGAAAGCAAUAAGAGGCAAUGGAUAUCGUUUCGUCCCCAAAGGUGACACGGUCUCUACCGAAACCAUCACGCUUGUUGUGAGAAGCUUAUAUCCAAACCUGCCCAAAAUGGAACAUUUUUUUACCACGGCAUGUUGAUGCUGCUCCAUGAUAGCAUGCCAAGUUUCAUGAAUUUCAUACGAGUUUUGGAUUUACUAGAAUUUUAAAACCAAGUAUCUCAAUGUUUGCGGCCGAGUGACGGUGGCAGGGUGUUUGAAAUUUAUUCCCAUUUCUUGCAUGGGACCUAAGCAUGCACCGAAGGACACAAAUUUGUUUUUUCAACCAAUUUAUAUGCACUAGAGCAUGUGCAUGUAGUUCAAAUUUGAAUUAUACAUAUAAAAUGUGUGGAAAACCCAGUUAAUGUAUAAAAGUGUCCAAACAAACCCUGGAAAAUUCCAAAAUUAAACAAUCCUGUUAUUCUAUGUUGACACUAGAAUUUUUUUGAAAGCAAUAAGAGGCAACAAAUAUCGUUUCAUCCCCAAAGGUGGCACGUUCCCUACUGAAACAAUCACGCUUGUUGUGAGAAGCUCUAGUUUGGGAGAAGCUUAUACCCAAACCUGCUACAAAUGGGACAAAACUUUUACCACGGCAUGUUGAUGCCGCUCCAAGAUAGCAUGCCAAGUUUCAUGAAUUUCAGACGAGUUUUGGAUUCACUACAAUUUAAAAACCAGGUAUCUCAAUGUUUGCGGCUGAGUGACGGUGGCAGGGUGUUUCACAUUCAUUCCCAUUUCUUGCAUGGGACCUAAGCAUGCAACCAAGGACAUGUUUUUUAAACCCAUUUAUAUGCACUGGAGCAUGUGCAUGUAGUUCAAAUUUGAAUUAUGCACCUGAAAUGCCUACAAAACCAAGUUAAUGUAUAAAAACAUCCAAACGAACCCUGAAUAAUUCCAAUUUUUUGAUGACACACCUAUAGUUGUAUGUUCACUGCAAAUAAAAGUUCUACCAAUUCAAACACCAUCCUUUGCAGCUGUGACCCCAUUUCGUAAUUCAAAUCAAGGCAAAAAAUCAAGUAGAUCGUGCACAGUUUAUUAUCGCCAACCAUGUGAUAUGCAUCACAAAAUAUCUUGGAGCACCGUCGGAGUGUCAAGCACACUAGCCCACUCCUCAAAUAUCAUUUCACUGUUCAAUCGUCGCUAGUGAAAGAUGGGGACAUGGACCCGCGUCGUGAGGGAAACUUCGGCGGCCCACUCCAGCGAGAGCGCGGCCGCAACCGCCAGGCGCGUGCUAACAAGCUUCGUGAGGGUGAACACAAUCUACGUCCGGGCGGCCAAGGCAGCCCAAACGGCUGUUGUUGCUUCUCAGGCGGCGGCAGUAGCAUCUGCCUCGGGGAUAACAACUAGCGAGAGCGGCACACCAGCUGUUCGUUCUGCAGUGGCGGCCUUAGCCUUGAUGGAGGCAGCCCACCACCAUGUCGAGGCCGUCCAUGCCCAGCUCGUGGCGGUCACCGCACAAAUCGAACGAAGCUUCUCUGGCAAUGGUUGGCAACCCACGGCCCAAGAGUUGGCAAUCGUUGAGAGAGUUCGAGCAGCCAUCCGUUCCUGCGCGGCAUACCUCGCCACGACGGAGCCUGCCAAAGCCUAGAUAGCGGCCGCCCACGCCAACUUGUGGCGGCCUAUUCCAAAGAUAUGGCAGACGCGGAUGGCGAGAUGCUUGUCGAGUAUGGUGCAAUUGAUGCCAUGGAGCCCCUUCCCCAGGAGACCGUCGGGCGCGAGCUGGACAUGGAGGCGGCGGCGGAGAUCGACGAGCACCAGCCGUAGUAGUACUCUUUGUUUUGUUUAAUUAAGAGCGUCGGUCUUUAAUUUGUUAGAGUAAUGUUUAGGUCAGCUAGCUCUGUUUAAUUGCUGAACUUGGUCGAUUAAGAAGUCUGGGUGUGAAGGAAAUAUGCCCUAGAGGCAAUAAUAAAGUUGUUAUUUAUAUUUCCUUAUAUCAUGAUAAAUGUUUAUUAUUCAUGCUAGAAUUGUAUUAACCGGAAACUUAUUACAUGUGUGAAUACAUAGACAAACUGAGUGUCACUAGUAUUCCUCUACUUGACUAGCUCAUUAAUAAAAGAUGGUUAAGUUUCCUAGCCAUGGACAAAGAGUUAUCAUUUGAUUAACGGGAUCACAUCAUUAGAGAAUGAUGUGAUUGACUUGACCCAUCCGUUAGCUUAGCACGAUGAUCGUUUACUUUGUUGCUAUUGCUUUCUUCAUAACUUAUACAUGUUCCUAUGGCUAUGAGAUUAUGCAACUCCCGAAUACCAGAGUAACACUUAGUGUGCUAUCAAAUGUCACAACGUAACUAGGUGGUUAUAAAGAUGCUCUACAGGUGUCUCUGAUGGUGUUUGUUGAGUUGGCAUAGAUCGAGAUUAUGAUUUGUCACUCCGAUUAUCGGAGAGGUAUCUCUGGGCCCUCUCGAUAAUACUCAUCACUAUAAGCCUUGCAAGCAAUGUGACUAAAGAGUUAGUUACGCGAUGAUGCAUUACGGAACAAGUAAAGAGACUUGCCGGUAACAAGAUUGAACUAGGUAUUGAGAUACCGACGAUCGAAUCUCGGGCAAGUAACAUACCGAUGAUAAAGGAAACAACGUAUAUCGUUAUGCGGUUUGACCGAUAAAGAUCUUUGUAGAAUAUGUGGGAGCCAAUAUGAACAUCCAGGUUCCGCUAUUGGUUAUUGACCGGAGACGUGUGUUGGUCAUGUCUACAUAGUUCUCGAACCCGUAGGGUCCGCACGUUUAACGUUCGGUGACAAUCGGUAUUAUGAGUUUAUGUGUUUUGAUGCACCGAAGGUAGUUUGGAGUCCCGGAUGUGAUCACGGACAUGACGAGGAGUCUCUAAAUGGUCGAGACAUAAAGAUUGAUAUAUUGGAUGACUAUAUUCGGACACCGGAUGAGUUCCGGGGGUCACCGGAUAAUUAUCGGAGUGCCGGGGGGUUAUCGGAACCACCGGGGGAACUAAUGGGCCAACAUGGGCCUUGUGUGAGAGAGAGGAGGGGCCAUAGGGCUGUCCGCGCCCCCGCUUGGGAGUUGGACUAGGAAAGUGGGAGUCCUACUCCUACUAGGAGGAGGACUCCUCCCCCUCAUUGGCGCGCCCCAUGGCCGGCCUCUCCCUUGCUCCUUUAUAUACGGGGGCAGGGGGGCACCCUAGAGCACACAAGUUGAUCAUUGAUCCCUUAGCCGCGUGCGGUGCCCCCCUCCACCAUAAUCCACCUCGGUCAUAUCAUCGUAGUGCUUAGGCGAAGCCCUGCGACGGUAGCUUCAUCAUCACCGUCAUCACGCCGUCGUGCUGACGAAGCUCUCCCUCGACACUCAGCUAGAUCGAGAGUUCGUGGGACGUCACCGAGCCAGACGUGUGUAGAUCGCGGAGGUGCCGUACUUUCGGUACUAGGAUCGGUCGGAUCAUGAAGACAUACAACUACAUCAACCGCAUUGUCAUAACACUUCCGCUUACGGUCUACGAGGGUACAUGGACAACACUCUUCCCCUCUCGUUGCUAUGCAUCACCAUGAUAGAUCUUGCGUGUUCGUAGGAAUUUUUUUUGAAAUUACUGCGUUCCCCAAUAGUGGUAUCAUAGCCAGGUUUAUGCGUAGAUGUUAUAUGCACGAGUAGAACACAAAGGAGUUGUGGGCGUGGGUAUGUACAUAUUGCUUGCCGUCACUAGUUGUUUCUUGAUUCAGUGGUAUUGUUGGAUGAAGCGGCCCAGAUCGACAUUACACGUACGUUUACGCGAGACUGGUUCUACCAACAUGUUUCGCACACAGGUGGCUGGUGGGUGUCAGUUUCUCCAACUUUAGUGAAUCAGGUUCAAUGAACCGGGUUCUUUCUGAAGAUCAAAAAACAAUCACUAUACCGCGUUGUGGUUUUUGAUGCGUAGGUAAGAACGGUUCUUGCUCAGCCCGUAGCAGCCACGUAAAACUUGCAACAACAAAGUAGAGGACGUCUAACUUGUUUUUGCAGGGCAUGUUGUGAUGUGAUAUGGUCAAGACAUGAUGCUAAAUUUUAUUGUAUGAGAUGAUAAUGUUUUGUAACACAAUUAUCGGCAACUGGCAGGAGCCAUAUGGUUGUCGCUUUAUUGUAUGAAAUGCAAUCACCAUGUAAUUGCUUUACUUUAUCACUAAAUGGUAGUGAUAGUCGUAGAAGCAAUAGUUGGCGAGAUGACAAUGAUGCUUCAAUGGAGAUCAAGGUGUCUAGCCGGUGACGAUGGUGAUCAUGACGGUGCUUUGGAGAUGGAGAUCAAAGGCACAAGAUGAUGAUGACCAUAUCAUAUCACUUAUAUUGAUUGCAUGCGAUGUUUAUCCUUUAUGCAUCUUAUUUUCCUUAGUUCGGUGGUAGCAUUAUAAGAUGAUCUCUUGAUACGUCUCCGUCGUAUCUAUAAUUUUUGAUUGUUCCAUGUCAAUAUUAUUCAACUUUCAUAUACUUUUUGGCAACUUUUUAUAUUAUUUUUGGGACUAACAUAUUGAUCCAGUGCCCAGUGCCAGUUCCUGUCUGUUGCAUGUUUUUGGUUUCGUAGAAUAUCCAUAUCAAACGGAGUCCAAACGGGAUAAAAACGGACAGAGCUUAUUUUUGGAAAAUAUGGAAAAUUUGGAAGGAAAAUCAACGCGAAUCAGUGCCCGAGGUGGUCACGAGGCAGGGGGCGCGCCCUACCCUCGUGAGCCCACCGUAAGGCGGUUGACGCUCUUCUUCUGCCACAAGAAAGCUAAUAUUCGGAAAAAAAUCACGGCGAAGGUUUCAGGCCAAUCGGAGUUACGGAUCUCCAUAUAUAUAUAUAUAUACGAAACGGUGAAACAGAGCCAGAACAGAACGCAGAACCAGAGAGAAACAGAGAGAUAGAUCCAAUCUCGGAGGGGCUCUCGCCCCUCCCAUGCCAUGGAGGCUAAGGACCAGAGGGGAAACCCUUCUCCCAUCUAGGGAGGAGGUCAAGGAAGAAGAGGAAGAAGGGCCCCCUCUCCCCCUCUCCUCCGGUGGCGCCGGAACGCCACCGUGGCCAUCAUCAUCACCGCGAUCUUCACCAACACCUCCACCAUCUUCACCAACAUCUCCAUCACCUUCCCCCCUCUAUCUACAGCGGUCCACUCUCCCACAACCCGCUGUACCCUCUACUUGAACAUGGUGCUUUAAGCUUCAUAUUAUUAUCCAAUGAUGUGUUGCCAUCCUAUGAUGUCUGAGUAGAUUUUCGUUGUCCUAUCGGUGGUUGAUGAAUUGCUAUGAUUGAUUUAAUUUGCUUGUGGUUAUGUUGCUGUCCUUUGGUUCCCAUCAUAUGAGCGCGUGCGUGGAUCACACCAUAGGGUUAGUUGUAUGUUGAUAGGACUAUGUAUUGGAGGGCAAGAGUGACAGAAGCUUCAACCUAGCAUAGAAAUUGAUGCAUACGGGAUUGAAGGGGGACCAAUAUAUCUUAAUGCUAUGGUUGGGUUUUACCUUAAUGAAUGUUAGUAGUUGCGGAUGCUUGCUAAUAGUUCCAAUCAUAAGUGCAUAGAAUUCCAAGUAAGGGAUAACAUGCUAGCAGUGGCCUCUCCCAGAUAAUACUUGCUAUCGGUCUAAUAAAGUAGUCAAUUUCUUAAGUGACAAUUUCGCAUCUCCUACCACCACUUUUCCACACUCGCUAUAUUUACUUUAGUUGCUUCUUUACCUUAACAGCCCCUAGUUUUAUUUUCGUGCUCUUAAUUAUCUUGCAAACCUAUCCAACAACACCUACAAAGUACUUCUAGUUUCAUACUUGUUCUAGGUAAAGCGAACGUCAAGCGUGCGUAGAGUUGUAUCGGUGGUCGAUAGAACUUGAGGGAAUAUUUGUUCUACCUUUAGCUCCUCAUUGGGUUCGACACUCUUACUUAUCGAAAAUUGUUGCGAUCCCUAUACUUGUGGGUUAUCAAGACCUUUUUCUGGCGCCGUUGCCGGGGAGCAAUAGCGUGGGGUGAAUAUUCUCGUGUGUGCUUGUUUGCUUUAUCACUAAGUAAUUUUUAUUUGCUGUUCUUAGUUGUUUCCUAUCUUCAGUUAUGGGUAGGAAACGCAAAAUACCAAAAAAAUUAGUUGUACCUACUGAACCAAUGGUUGAAGAACCAAUCAAAAUCUAUCACACUGCUGAAGCUUAGUACUUGGAUCAUCUUCGAUCCCUAUGUGCUCAUGCUGAAACCCCAACUAGCUUAGUUGAGGGCAAAUCAUUAGAUGAGCAUGCUUGUUAUGUGCGACACCGUAUAUCUAAAAAAGGGAAAUUAUUAUGGAGUCAGAUUCAACGUUUGCAAUGCUAUGCUUGGAAUUUAUGUGAAUUAUAUGAUUUUACUUGUUGUUCUGAAAACCCUAAGAAACACCUUCCCUACCAAUGUGAGUUUAUUGAUAAUGGAAUCUUAUCUUCUAAUGCUAAAGGUGUUUAUAGUUACUAUGAUGUUCAACAAAUUGAAGAAUUUGUUGCUUUAGAGGGUGCUUAUGAAAUUGCUUCUUUGAUUGAAAAGUAUGAUGCUACUUUUCAUAAAUCUAAAUUUUUUGCUAUACUUAAAUAUUGCUAUGAUAAUUAUGCUUCUAAUACGUAUGUUAAACAAUAUAUUGAGGAAUACUCCGCUGUCCAAGAAGAGACUAAUAUUUUGCAGGAAUCUAUGGAAGAAGAAGUUGAUGACACUAUGAGCUCAUUGGAUGAAAAAGAUGAGGAGGAGAGCGAAGAACAAAAGGAGGAAGAGCGGAUUGAUCACCCGUGCCCACCUUCUAAUGAGAGUAACUCUUCAACUCAUACAUUGUUUAAUUCCCCUUCGUGCUUACCGAAGGAUGAUUGCUAUGAUGAUUGUUAUGAUCCCUAUGAUUCUUUUGAAAUAUCCCUUUUUGAUGAUGCUUGCUAUGAUUAUGGCCAAGAUGCCAAUAUGAAUUAUGCUUAUGGAGAUGAACUUGCUAUAGUUCCUUAUGUUAAACAUGAAAUUGUUGCUAUUGCACCCACACAUGAUAGUCCUAUUAUAUUUUUGAAUUCUCCCGAUUAUACUAUAUCGGAGAAGUUUGCACUUAUUAAGGAUUAUAUUGAUGGGUUGCCUUUUACCGUUGCACAUGAUGAUUUCGAUAAAUAUAAUAUGCAUGUGCUUGCUGCUCCUACUUGCAAUUAUUAUGAGAGAGGAACUAUAUCUCCACCUCCCUAUGUUUCCAACAUGAUAAAAUUGCAAGAAACUGUUUAUACUAUGCAUUGACCUUUACUAGGUGUGCAUGAAUUGUUCUUUUAUGACAUGCGAUGCAUAGGAAGAGAGUUAGACUUCGUCAUUGCUUGAUAUAUGUUGCUUUGAGCUCACUACUAAAUUACAAAUCAUUGUUAAUUAAAAUUGGCUUUGAUAUACCUUGGGAUCCGGGUGGAUUCACUACUUGAGCACUUUAUGCCUAGCUUAAUGGCUUUAAAGAAAGCGCUGCCAGGGAGACAACCCGGAAGUUUUAGAGAGUCAUUUAUUUCUGUUGAGUUCUUUCAUAUAGUUUUAAAACAACAAAAAUAAAGAGGGGAACCCAAAACUUUUUCAAAAAGGAAAGUGAAAGUGAGAAAGACAAGCACUGUUGAAGUGGGAGAGCUCCUUGAACUUUGUUCAUGCUCACGGCAACUUUGUGAAUCUUGAUUACAUAAACUUUUCAACAAAAAUAAUUACCCCUUGUACAAUUCCAUUGUAUUAUAAAAAUAAUGUGCCAAGGUUUGCCUUUAGGAUGUUUACGAUGCGUGUUGGUUUGUACUGUGCAGGACAAAAACUUUGGCUGUAGUGCGCGAUUUUACAUUUUUAGCUGGAACGUCAAAUGGUUCUGAUUCUUUUUGCACUGUCUUCCUAUACAAAUUGUUUAUUUUUACUAAUUUUUGCAGAACUUUUCAAGUAUCAUAAGUAUGGUGAAUGUUCACAUUAUUACAGACUGUUCUAUUUUAGUCAGAUUCUGUUUUUGAUGCAUAGUUUGCUUGUUUUGAUGAAACUAUCAAUUUAUAUUAGUGGAUUAAGCCAUGAAAAAGUUAUAUUACAGUAGACACAAUGCAAAAACAAAAUAUGAAUUGGUUUGCAACAAUACUUAGAGUAGUGAUUUAUUUUAUUAUACUAACGGAUCUUACCGAGUUUUCUGUUGAAGUUUUGUGUGGAUGAAGUGUUCGAUGAUCGAGAAGGUCUCGAUGUGAGAAGAAGGAAGAGAGGAAAGAGCUCAAGCUUGGGGAUGCCUGAGGUACCCCAAGUAAAUAUUCAAGCAGACUCAAGCAUCUAAGCUUGGGGAUGCUGGGGAGGCAUCCCCUCUUUCUUCAACAAAUAUCGAUAUGUUUUCGGAUUCGUUUCGUUCAUGCGAUAUGUGCAAGUCUUGGAGCGUCUUUUGCAUUUAGGUUUUUCUUUUUCUUUUUAUGCACCAUGCUGGUAUGAGAUAGUCCUUGGUUGAUUUAUAGAAUGCUCUUUGCACUUCACUUAUAUCUUUUGAGUAUGGCUUUAUAGAAUGCUUCAUGUGCUUCACUUAUAUCAUUUGAAGUUUGGAUUGCCUGUUUCUCUUCACUUAGACAACCACCAUUUGUAGAAUGCUCUUUUGCUUCACUUAUAUUUGUUAGAGCGUGGGCAUAUAUUUUGUAGAAAGAAUUGAACUCUCUUGCUUCACUUAUAUCUAUUUAGAGAGAUGACAUGAAUUGGUCAUUCACAUGGUUAGUCAUACAAUCCUACAUAAAACUUGUAGAUCACUGAAUAUGAUAUGUUUGAUUCCUUGCAAUAGUUUUGCGAUAUAAAGAUGGUGAUAUUAAAGUCAUGCUAGUGGGUAAUUGUGGAUUGUAGAAAUACUUCUGUUGAGGUUUGUGAUUCCCGUAGCAUGCACGUAUGGUGAACCGUUAUGUAACGAAGUCGGAGCAUGAUUUAUUUAUUGAUUGUCUUCCUUAUGAGUGGCGGUCGGGGACGAGCGAUGGUAUUUUCCUACCAAUCUAUCCCCUAGGAGCAUGCGCAUAGUACUUUGUUUCGAUGAAUAAUAGAUUUUUGCAAUAAGUAUGUGAGUUCUUUAUGACUAAUAUUGAGUCCAUGGAUUAUACGCACUCUCACCCUUCCACCAUUGCUAGCCUCUCUAGUACUGCGCAACUUUCGCCGGUACCAUAAACCCACCAUAUACCUUCUUCAAAACAGCCACCAUACCUACCUAUCAUGGCAUUUCCAUAGCCAUUCCGAGAUAUAUUGCCAUGCAACUUCCAUCAUCAUCAUAUACAUGACUUAAGCAUUUAUUGUCAUAUUGCUUUGCAUGAUCGUAAGAUAGCUAGCAUGAUGUUUUCAUGGAUUGUCCAUUUUUUGAUGUCAUUGCUACGCUAGAUCAUUGCACAUCACGGUACACUGCCGGAGGCAUUCAUAUAGAGUCAUACUUUGUUCUAGACAUUGAGUUGUAAGUAAAUAAAAGUGUGAUGAUCAUCAUUAUUAGAGCAUUGCCCCAGUGAGGAAAGGAUGAUGGAGACUAUGAUUCCCCCAUAAGUCGGGAUGAGACUCCAGACUUUAAAAAAAAGAGGCCAAAGAAGCCCAAAUAAAAAAGAGGCCAAAGAAUCCCACCAAAAAAAAUAAUAAAUAAAAUGAGAGAAAAAGAGAGAAGGUGCAAUGUUACUAUCCUUUUACCACACUUGUUCUUCAAAGUAGCACCAUGUUCUUCAUAUAGAGAGUCUCUUGAGUUAUCACUUUCAUAUACUAGUGGGAAUUUUCAUUAUGGAACUUGGCUUGUAUAUUCCGAUGAUGGGCUUCCUCAAAUUCCUGAGGUCUUCAUGAGCAAGCAAGUUGGAUGCACACCCACUUAGUUUCAGUUGGAGCUUUCAUACACUUAUAGCUCUAGUGCAUCCGUUGCAUGGCAAUCCCAACUCACUCACAUUGAUAUAUAUUGAUGGGCAUCUCCAUAGCCCGUUGAUACGCCUAGUUGAUGUGAGACUUUCUCCUUUUUUGUAUUCUCCACAUAACCCCCACCAUCAUAUUCUAUUCCACCUAUAGUGCUAUGUCCAUGGCUCACGCUCAUGUAUUGCGUGAAAGUUGAAAAGGUUUGAGAACGUCAAAAGUAUGAAACAAUUGCUUGACUUGUCAUCGGGGUUGUGCAUGAUGUGAAUGCUUUGUGUGGUGAAGAUGGAGCAUAGCCAGACUAUAUGAUUUUGUAGGGAUGAGCUUUCUUUGGCUAUGUUAUUUCAAUAAGACAUAAUUGCUUGGUUGGUAUGCUUGAAAUAUUAUUGUCUUUAUGUCAAAGGAUAGAUUAUUGCUUUGAAUCACUCGUGUCUUAAUAUUCAUGCCAUGAUUAGACAUAUGAUCAAGAUUAUGCUAGGUAGCAUUCCACAUCAAAAAUUAUCUUUUUUAUCAUUUACCUACUCGAGGACGAGCAGGAAUUAAGCUUGGGGAUGCUGAUACGUCUCCGUCGUAUCUAUAAUUUUUGAUUGUUCCAUGCCAAUAUUAUUCAACUUUCAUAUACUUUCUGGCAACUUUUUAUAUUAUUUUUGGGACUAACAUAUUGAUCCAGUGCCAAGUGCCAGUUCCUGUCUGUUGCAUGUUUUUGGUUUCGCAGAAUAUCCAUAUCAAACGGAGUCCAAACGGGAUAAAAACGGACAGAGCUUAUUUUUGGAAAAUAUGGAAAAUUCGGAAGGAAAAUCAACGCGAACCAGUGCCCGAGGUGGUCACGAGGCAGGGGGCGCGCCCCUACCCUCGUGAGCCCACCGUAAGGUGGUUGACGCUCUUCUUUUGCCGCAAGAAAGCUAAUAUUCAGAAGAAAAAAAUCACGACGAAGGUUUCAGGCCAAUCGGAGUUAUGGAUCUCCAUAUAUAUACGAAACGGUGAAACAGAGCCAGAACAGAACGCAGAACCAGAGAGAAACAGAGAGAUAGAUCCAAUCUCGGAGGGGCUCUCGCCUCUCCCAUGCCAUGGAGGCCAAGGACCAGAGGGGAAACCCUUCUCCCAUCUAGGGAGGAGGUCAAGGAAGAAGAGGAAGAAGGGGGCCCCUCUCCCCCUCUCCUCCGGUGGCGCCGGAACGCCAUCGUGGCCAUCAUCAUCAUCACCAGGAUCUUCACCAACACCUCCGCCAUCUUCACCAACAUCUCCAUCACCUUCCCCCCUCUAUCUACAGCGGUCCACUCUCCCGCAACCCGUUGUACCCUCUACUUGAACAUGCUGCUUUAUACUUCAUAUUAUUAUCCAAUGAUGUGUUGUCAUCCUAUGAUGUCUGAGUAGAUUUUCGUUGUCCUAUCGGUGGUUGAUGAAUUGUUAUGAUUGAUUUAAUUUGCUUGUGGUUAUGUUGUUGUCCUUUGGUGCCCAUCAUAUGAGCACGCACGUGGAUCACACCAUAGGGUUAGUUGUAUGUUGAUAGGACUAUGUAUUGGAGGGCAAGAGUGACAGAAGCUUCAACCUAGCAUAGAAAUUGAUGCAUACGGGAUUGAAGGGGGACCAAUAUAUCUUAAUGCUAUGGUUGGGUUUUACCUUAAUGAACGUUAGUAGUUGCGGAUGCUUGCUAAUAGUUCCAAUCAUAAGUGCAUAGAAUUCCAAGUAAGGGAUAACAUGCUAGCAGUGGCCUCUCCCACAUAAUACUUGCUAUCGGUCUAGUAAAGUAGUCAAUUGCUUAAGGGACAAUUUCGCAACUCCUACCACCACUUUUCCACACUCGCUAUAUUUACUUUAGUUGCUUCUUUACCUUAACAGCCCCUAGUUUUAUUUUCGUGCUCUUAAUUAUCUUGCAAACCUAUCCAACAACACCUACAAAGUACUUCUAGUUUCAUACUUGUUCUAGGUAAAGCGAACGUCAAGCGUGCGUAGAGUUGUAUGGGUGGUCGAUAGAACUCGAGGGAAUAUUUGUUCUACCUUUAGCUCCUCGUUGGGUUCGACACUCUUAGUUAUCGAAAACUGUUGCGAUCCCCUAUACUUGUGGGUUAUCAUCUCUCACUAAAUUUCAAGGUAUAAGUGUUCUCCCUGAGUAUGCACCGUUGCUACAGUUCGUCGUGCUGAGACACCACAUGAUGAUCGGGUGUGAUAAGCUCUACGUUCACAUACAAUGGGUGCAAGCCAGUUUUGCACAUGCAGAAUACUCUGGUUAAACUUGACGAGCCUAGCAUAUGCAGAUAUGGCCUCGGAACACUGAGACCGAAAGGUCGAGCGUGAAUCAUAUAGUAGAUAUGAUCAACAUAGUGAUGUUCACCAUUGAAAACUACUCCAUCUCACGUGAUGAUCGGACAUAGUUUAGUUGAUAUGGCUCACAUGAUCACUUAGAUGAUUAGAGGGAUGUCUAUCUAAGUGGGAGUUCUUAAGUAAUAUGAUUAAUUGAACUUAAAUUUAUCAUGAACUUAGUCAUGAUAGUAUUUGCAUAUCUAUGUUGUAGAUCAAUUGGUCGUGUAUAGCUUCCCCAUUUUAUUUAUGAUAUGUUCCUAGAGAAACUAUGUUGAAAGAUGAUAGUAUCAAUGAUGCGGAUUGGAUCCAUGAUCUGAGGAUUAUCCUCGUUGCUGCAUAGAAGAAUUAUGUCCUUGAUGCACCGCUAGGUGACAUAACUAUUGCAGGAGCAAAUGCAGACAUUAUGAAUGUUUGACAAAGCUCGGUAUGAUAUCUACUUAAUACUUUAGUGCACCAUGCUUUACGGCUUAGAACCGGGACUUCAAAAAUGCUUUUGAACGCCACAGAGCAUAUAAGAUGUUCUAAGAGUUGAAAUUGGUAUUUCAUACUCAUGCCCGUGUCAAGAGGUAGAAGACCUCUGAUAGUACUUUGCCUACAAGAUGGAGGAGAAUAGCUCAACCAGUGAGCAUGUGCUUAGAUUGUCUGGGUACUUCAAUUGCUUGAAUCAAGUGGGAGUUAAUCUUCCAGAUAAUAUAGUAAUUGACAAAGUUCUCUAGUCACUAUCACCAAGUUACUAGAACUUAGUGAUGAACUAUAAUAUGCAAGGGAUGACGAAAGUAAUUCCCAAGCUCUUCGCGAUGCUGAAAUCGGCGAAGGUAGAAAUCAAGAAAUAGCAUCAAGUGUUGAUGGUUAACAAGACCACUAGUUUCAACAAAAGGGCAAAGGGAAAGAAAGAGGAACUUCAAAGAAGAAUAACAAGCAAGUUGUUGUUCCCAUGAAGAAGCUCAAAGCUAGACCCAAGCCUGGAACUGAGUGCUUCUACUGCAAAGGAAAUGGUCACUGGAAGUGGAACUGCCCUAGAUACUUGGCGGAUAAGAAGGAUGGUAAAGUGAAAAAAGUAUAUUUGAUAUACAUGUUAUUGAUGUGUACUUUACUAGUGUUUAUAUAAACCCCUCAGUAUUUGAUACUGGUUUAGUUACUAAGAGUAGUAACUCGAAACGAGAGUUGCAAAAUAAACAGAGACUAGUUAAGGGCGAGGUGAUGAUGUGAGUUGGAAGUGAUUCCAAGGUUGAUAAGAUCACCAUCGCACACUCCCUUUACCUUCGGGAUUAGUGUUGAGCCGAAAAUAAAUGUUAUUUGUUGUUUACAUAUAGCAUAAUAUGAUUGGAUCAUGUUUAUUGCAAUACGGUUGUUCAUUUAAGUCAAGGAUAAUUGUUAUUCUGUUUACAUGAAUAAAACCUUCUGAGGUCAUACACCCAAGGUGAAUGGUUUAUUGAAUCUCGAUCGUAGUAAUACACAUAUUCAUAAUAUUGAAGCCAAAAGAUGCAAAGUUGAUAAUGAUAGUGCAACAAUUUUUUGUGGCACUACCGUUUAGGUCAUAUUGGUGUAAAGCACAUGAAGAAACUCCGUGCUGAUGGGCCUCACUUGAUUAUGAAUCAUUUGAUGCUUGCGAACCAUGCCUCAUGGGCAAUAUGACUAAAACUCCGUUCUCCGGAACAAUGGAGCAAGCAACUGACUUAUUGGAAACAAUACAUACUGAUGUAUGCAAUCCGAUGAGUGUUGAGGCUUGCGGCGGGUAUCAUUAUUUUCUGAUCUUCAUAGAUGAUUUGAGCAGAUAUGGGUAUAUCUACUUGAUAAAACAUAAGUCUGAAACAUUUGAAAAGAUCAAAGAAUUUCAUAGUGAAGUGGAAAAUCAUCGUAACAAGGAAAUAAAGUUUCUACGAUCUGAUCGUGGAGGAGAAUAUUUGAGUUACGAGUUUGGUCUUCAUUUGAAACAAUGCGGAAUAGUUUCGCAACUCACGCCACCUGGAACACCACAGUGUAAUGGUGUGUCCGAAUGUCAUAACCGUACUUUAUUAGAUAUGGUGCGAUCUAUGAUGUCUCUGACCAAUUUAUCACUAUCGUUUUGGGGUUAUGCAUUAGAGACAGUUACAUUCAUGUUAAAUAGGACACCAUCUAAAUCCGUUGAGACGACACAAUAUGAACUGUGGUUUGGCAAGAAACCUAAGCUGUCGUUUCUUAAAGUUUGGGGCUAUGAUGCUUAUGUGAAAAAGUUUCAACCUGAUAAGCUCGAACCCAAAUCGGAGAAAUGCGUCUUCAUAGGAUACCCAAAGGAAACUGUUGGGUACACCUUCUAUCACAGAUCCGAAGGCAAGAUAUUCAUUGCUAAGAAUGGAUCCUUUCUAGAGAAGAAGUUUCUCUCGAAAGAAGUGAGUGGGAGGAAAGUAGAACUUGACGAGGUAAUUGCACCAUCUCCCUUAUUGGAAAGUAGUUCAUCACUGAAAUCAGUUCCAGUGAUUCCUACACCAUUAAGUUAGGAAGCUAAUGAUGAUGAUCAUGAAACUUCUGAUCAAGUUACUACCGAACCUCGUAGGUCACUCAGAGUAAGAUACACACCAGAGUGGUACGGUAAUCCUGUUCUGGAAGUCAUGUUACUUGACCAUGACGAACCUACGAACUAUGAGGAAGCGAUGAUGAGCCCAGGUUCUGCAAAAUGGCUUGAGGCCAUGAAAUCUGAGAUGUGAUCCAUGUAUGAGAACAAAGUAUGGACUUUGAUUGACUUGCUCGAUGAUCGGUGAGCCAUUCAGAAUAAAUGGAUCUUCAAGAGGAAGACGGACGCUGAUAGUAGUGUUACUAUCUACAAAGAUCGAAUUGUCGCAAAAGGUUUUCGACAAGUUCAAGGUGUUGACUACGAUGAGAUUUUCUCACUCGUAUCGAUGUUUAAAAGUCUGUCCGAAUCAUGUUAGCAGUUGUCGCAUUUUAUGAAAUCUGGCAAAUGGAAAUCAAAACUACAUUCCUUAAUGGAUUUAUUAAAAAAGAGUUGUAUAUGAUGCAACCAGAUGGUUUUGUCAAUUCUAAAGGUGUUAACAAAGUGUGCAAGCUCCAGCGAUCCAUCUAUGGACUGGUGCAAGCAUCUCGGCGUUGGAACAUACGCUUUGAUGAGUUGAUCAAAGCAUAUAGUUUUAUACAGACUUGCGGUGAAGCCUGUAUUUAGAAGAAAGUGAGUGGGAGCACUACAACCUUUCUGAUAAGUAUAUGUGAAUGACAUAUUGUUGAUCAGAAAUGAUGUAGAAUUUUCUGGAAAACAUAAAGGAGAAUUUGAAAGGAGUUUUUCAAAGAAAGAAUUACCUGUAAAGCUACUUACAUAUUGGGCAUCAAGAUCUAUAAAGAUAGAUCAAGACGCUUGAUAAGACUUUCAAUGAGUACAUACCUUGAUAAUAUUUUGAAGGAGUUCAAAAUGGAUAAGUUAAAGAAGGAGUUCUUGCCUGAGUUGUAAGGUGUGAAAUUGAGUAAAGACUCAAAACCCGACCACGGCAGAAAAUAGAAAGAGAAUGAAAAGUCAUUCCCUAUGCCUCAGUCAUAGGUUCUAUAAAGUAUGCUAUGCUAUGUACCAAACCUAUUAUAUACCUUAGCAUAAUUUUGGCAAGGGAGUACAAUAGUGAUCUAGGAGUAGAUCACUAGACAACGGUCAAAAUUAUCCUUAGAGGACUAAGGAAUAUUUCUCUGAUAUGGAGGUGAUAAAAGAGUUCGUCGUAAAGAGUUACGUCGAUGCAAGAUUUUUACAUCGAUCUAGAUGACUCUAAGUCUCGAUCUGGAUACAUAUUGAAAGUGGGAGCAAUUAGCUAGAGUAGAUCCGUGCAGAGUAUUAUAGACAUAGAAAUUUGUGAAAUACAUAUGGAUCUGAAUGUUGCAGACCCGUAGACUAAACUUCUCUCACAAGCAAAACAUGAUCACUCUUUGGGUAUUAAUCACAUAGAGAUGUGAACUAGAUUAUUGACUCUAGUAAACCCUUUGGGUAUUAGUCACAUGAAGAUGUGAACUAAUCACAUAAAGAUGUGAAUUAUUGGUGUGAAAUCACAUGACGAUAUGAACUAGAUUAUUGACUCCAGUGCAAGUGGGAGACUGAAGGAAAUAGGCCCUAGAGGCAAUAAUAAAGUUGUUAUUUAUAUUUCCUUAUAUCAUGAUAAAUUUUUAUUAUUCAUGCUAGAAUUGUAUUAACCGGAAACUCAGUACAUGUGUGAAUACAUAGACAAACUGAGUGUCACUAGUAUGCCUCUACUUGACUAGCUCAUUAAUCAAAGAUGGUUAAGUUUCCUAGCCAUGGACAAAGAGUUGUCAUUUGAUUAAUGGGAGCACAUCAUUAGAGAAUGAUGUGAUUGACUUGACCCAUCCGUUAGCUUAGCAUGAUGAUCGUUUAGUUUGUUGCUAUUCCUUUCUUCAUAUAACUUAUACAUGUUCCUAUGACUAUGAGAUUAUGCAACUCCCGAAUACCGGAGGAACACUUAGUGUGCUAUCAAACAUCACAACGUAACUGGGUGAUUAUAAAUAUGCUCCAUAGGUGUCUCCGAUGGUGUCUGUUGAUUUGGCAUAGAUCGAGAUUAGGAUUUGUCACUCCGAUUAUCGAAGAGGUAUCUCUGGGCCCUCUCGGUAGUGCUCAUCACUAUAAGCCUUGCAAGCAAUGUGACUAUAAAGAGUUAGUUACGGGAUGAUGCAUUACAGAACGAGUAAUGAGACUUGCCGGUAAUGAGAUUGAACUAGGUAUUGAGAUACCGCCGAUUGAAUCUCGGGCAAGUAACAUACCGAUGACAAAGGGAACAAUGUAUAUCGUUAUGCGGUUUGACCGAGAAAGAUCUUCGUAGAAUAUGUGGGAGAUAAUAUGAACAUCCAGGUUCCGCUAUUGGUUAUUGACCAGAGACGUGUGUCGGUCAUGUCUACAUAGUUCUCGAACCCGUAGGGUCCGCACGCUUAACGUUCAGUGACGAUUGGUAUUAUGAGUUUAUGUGUCUUGAUGUACCGAAGGUAGUUCGGUGUCCCGGAUGUGAUCAUGGACAUGAUGAGGAGUUUUGAAAUGGUCGAGACAUAAAGAUUGAUAUAUUGGAUGAAUAUAUUCGGACACCGGAUGAGUUCCGGGGGUCACCGGAUAAUUAUCGGAGUGCCGGGGGGUUAUCAGAACCCCCCGGGGAACUAAUGGGCCAACAUGGGCCUUGUGUGUGAGAAAGGAGGGGCCAUAGUGCUGGCCGUGUGCCCCCUCCUUGGGAGUCCGAAUUGGACAAGGAGGGGGGGGGGCCCUCUUUCCCUCACUCUCUCCUUCUCCUUCCUCCCCCUCCCUCCUCCUAGUUGGACUAGGAAAGGGGGAGUCCUACUCCUACUAGGAGGAGGACUCCCCCCCCUCGUUGGCGCGCCCCAUGGCCGGCCUCCCCCUUGCUCCUUUAUAUACGAGGGCAGGGGGCACCCUAGAACACACAAGUUGAUCGUUGAUCCCUUAGCCGUGUGCAGUGCCCCCUCCACCAUAAUCCACCUCGGUCAUAUCAUCGUAGUGCUUAGGCAAAGCCCUGCGAUGGUAGCUUCAUCAGCACCGUCAUCACGCCGUGGUACUGACGAAGCUCUCCCUCGACACUCGGCUGGAUCGAGAGUUUGUGGGAUGUCACUGAGCCAAAAGUGUGCAGAUUGCGGAGGUGCCAUACUUUCGGUACUAGGAUCAGUCGGAUCGUGAAGACAUAUGACUACAUCAACCGCGUUGUCAUAAUGCUUCCGCUUACGGUCUACGAGGGUAUGUGGACAACACUCUUCCCCUCUCGUUGCUAUGUAUCACCAUGAUAGAUCUUGCAUGUGCGUAGGAUUUUUUUGAAAUUACUGCGUUCCCCAAUAGGGUGUGCUAGUCUCCUUUGUGUACCCAAAUUAUGCAAUGACGCGGAUGACCACUGUAACCAGGGAAAUUCGAACCAAAAUUUUUGACGUUCAAACUCAUCACACAUGGGUUAAGCUAUCUGAAUCGUUUGUGAUGUUCAUAUAUCGUACACAGUUCUGAAUAAUGGACCGCGUCUGAUGACACUUUGCACGCUAGUUUUUUCACUGAAGCGAUUCCAAAAUUUCGGCUUCCGCGGAAAUAUCUACCUCCCCGCCCCUCCCCCUUGCCAAAAGCCACAUUUCCCCUGUUUCCGCCUUCCUUUACAAGUUGAAACCUUCACUCCUUGCUUGCAGCACCGCCUCCUCGCUGGUGACCCUCCUUCACGCUACUCAGCCUCGCCUAUCCGGGCAGGUAAACCACACCCGACCCCAUCUUCCUCCUCCUUCCACAUCCCACUUGCCCCGACCACCGGCGCGACACCUUCCACCCAAAUCACCAACCCCUCCACCAAAUAAGUGCCGCCCUAAGCCAUGGUGCGCAUAAUAUAUCCAGGAUCUCAAGGAGCAUUUGGCAGCGGAGAAGUAAAUCAUGGCCGCACACGCGGAUGAGGUCGCGAUGGCUUCCAUUCGUGUCGACCCCCAGAUCUUGGAGGAGCACUUCACCGUUGAUGCCACCAUCGACGCCUUGCAUGUCGAUGACGCAGCGCGGUUGGCUGUUUGGUUCAAUUCUACAAUGUGAUGUUCAAUUAUUAUGGGUGCAUUCUGUUAUUGUAUACCAUGUGAGAAAUAAAUUGAAUUUGGCUGUACUAAAUACAUGAUAAACAAAUACAAUUGCUAUAUUUCCAAGUUGUUAAGCAUGCUUGGUUUGAUUAAUUGUCUAAUCUUCUAUUAUGAGUAUGUUAUAUUGUGCAAUGUGGUGCUCAGUUAACGUUUGGUUCAUUUGUUGUGGUGUUUAACUGUUUUGUUUGGUUCAAUUCUGCAGUGCAUGCGAUGCUCAAUUGUUAUGGGUGCAUUUUAUUAUUGUAUACCAUGCGAGGAAUAAAUUGAAUUUGGCUGUACUAAAUACAUGAGAAACAAAUACAAUUGCUAUAUUUCCAAGUUGUUAAGCGUGCUUGGUUUGGUUAAUUGUCUGAUCUUCUAUUAGGAGUAUGUUAUAUUGUGCAAUGUGGUGCUCAGUUAAUGUUUGGUUCAUUUGUUGUGGUGUUUAGUUAACUGCUUGGUUCAAUUCUGCAAUGCAGUGUCCAAUUGUCGUGGGUAGAAUUUUGUAUUGUUGUGCAAGUGAGGAAUAAAUCGAAUUUGGCUGCACUUAAUACAUGAGAAACAUAUACAAGUGCUAUAUUUCCUAGUUCUUAAUCAUGCUUGGUUUGGAUAAAUGGGUUUUCCAUGUGGCUUGAAUUAAUCUAAUGAAUUUGCAAUGUUCUUAUUUUUCAUCAACAUGUUUUAUUGAUAGCAUGUGAACCCUUACUUAAGCUGAUGACUAACUACCUUAUAUGCGUUGUAGGGAAACAAUGGGGAGCACUGAGGUUUACAAUCGAGGUUAGCACGUGCAUGGUCCGUUGUCUAAUAGCACAUUAUUGUGCAAUUGCAGGAACCUUUCUAAUAUUUAGUUUUUUAACAAUUUGGUCUUGCACAUGUAGGUCCUGCUGUCAGAGGUUUUGACCCACUGUUCGACCCCUUUUGCAUAUGGGUAAAUGAGUUGUACAUCAAUAUUAGUCAAGUCAAGAAACUUAGAGAGGUUGUUAGGAUAAAGAAAUUAGCGACAAAAAACAACAAGAUCUUUGUCUGCACAAUGAAGAAGACAUCAGUUCACUACAGGAUGGUACUAACUAUUAUACCUUGCCUUUUUAUUCCUUUGCCCCAUUUCCAAUAUAGAGAAGAUAUUUAUGCACAUCCUUGUUUUCAAGCCUUUCCAAAGCAGUUCACUAAUGAUUACCUCUCAAACCACCUGUAUGGUCAGGAGGCGAGGAAGGUAUUCAUACAACACCCACAGUUCAAUAUUGAAGUGUUCCUGAAGAGGACGGAGGAUCGACGGUCAAUCAUCCACAUGCACUGGCUUAAAGUUACAAAGACCUUCAACAUCAAUGAAGGCUCAAUAUUCGCCUUCUGCUUCAGCAGUUUUCCAGAUGAGAUACAUCUGUCUAUGUACCAUCUAUGAUGCUAAUUUCGAAAGGUUAUAGAUGUUGCACGUGAAACUUGGUGCUGGUGUAGUUGUGUAAUGGGGUAGCUGAGUCCUGAAGCUAUAUGAUGUUGUACUCUGAUGUAUUUCAAUUAUGAAAAUGAAAUAUAUUGUGUGCUUAAUAUGAAAUGUCAAUUAGAUUAAUAAAUGGAUUAUUAAUAAUCAGAUAAUUAGCCUGCUAAUUGGGUUUUUCUAUUGCAAACAAUUAUUGAGAAAACACCAUGUGUGAUGCAUUCAAUAACGCACACAAUUUCUAGGAGUAAACCGUGUUGGAUCAAUGAAUAAUCACACACGACCUUCUCUUGAAAACUGUUUGCAUUAGGCCACCUUGCGCAAACGUUUACGACAUAAAAACUGUGUGUGAUGGACAACCUUUGCCACACAGUUUUUUCUACGCACCAUGUGUGAUGCAUUCAAUAACGCAAAUGAUAAAAUUGUCAAUAUCGUGUGCAAUGGCAACACUAUCACAAACGAUUUAAAGAGGAAAAUUGUAUGUGAUGUACCUGUGAACGGAAACGUUUUCCUUGAAGCGACUAUGUGGGAUGUACAUACAAACAGAAACGUUUAGCGGGAAUUGACUGUGUGGGAUGUACUUGCGAUCAAAAACAAUUUCGCCUGUAUAAUUGUAUUUUUUUAGCUCUAUUGUACGUAUUUCCGUACUUGAGCGCUCGCCGGUCGCACACGAACUCAUUUUGCCGAGCAUGUGUGCCAGGAGGGCAUAUACCCGAUGGUUUUUGGGUCGUGUGGGAAGGACCCCCCUAUCGCCGUCACUUACUAGGUAACGGUUCCAAAUGCCGUCGCGGAAAGGGGUUAAAAACCGUUUGUAUAGCACCUCGCUGUACUAGUGACUAGUAAUGAGACUUCUCCCACGUCCUCAAGAACAAGUAGAACUACUCACAACUCAUCAUAUUGAUCAUGAUCAAUGGUUAUAAAUAUAUGUUUAACAAUCUUAACAUAACAAUAUUCCACCAUUUAAACCAACUAGCAUCAACUACGAGAUGUAAUCAACACUACUAGCACCCCCAGGUACCAAUCUGAGGUUUGAUACAAAGAUUAAGAAUGAAAGAUGAACUAGAGUUUUGAGAUGAGAUGGUGAUGAUGAAGAUGAUGAUCCCAUGAUGAAAGGAGUGUUGGUGAUGAUGAAGGCUUCGAUUUCCCCUUCCCGGAGGAAAGUUUCCCCUGCAAAAUUGCUCCAUCGAAGAGCAAAAGUGUGUCGCCUCGCAGAUGGCGGCGGAAAGUCCUCAGAAUUUUGUUUGAUUUCGUCAAGGGUAAAUGGAAUUGAUGGCCAAAGGGCAUCGGGAGGCGAGGCACCAUGGCCCCAAAUGGGCAGGGGUGCAGCUAGGGGGUAGGCCGCGCCACCUGUCCAUGUGGCUGCCUAGUGGGUCCCUAAUAACCCACAAGUAUAGGGGAUCGCGACAGUUUUUGAGGGUAGAGUAUUCAACCCAAAUUUAUUGAUUCGACACAAGGGGAGCCAAAGAAUAUUUGUAGGUAUUAGCAGUUGAGUUGUCAAUUCAACCACACCUGAAAGACAUAAUAUCCGCAGCAAAAAAAUUAGUAGCAAAGUAGUAUGAUAGUAACGGUAACAAUGGCAAUAGUAGCAGUAGCAGUUUUGUAGUGAUUGUAGGAGUAGCAGCAAUGAAAGUAACUUAGCAAAGAUCAAUAUGUGAAAAGCUCGUAGGCAUUGGAUCAGCGAUGGAUAAUUGUGUUGGAUAAUAUUCAUGAUGUAGCAGUCAUAACCUAGGGCAACACAGAACUAGCUCCAACUCAUCAAUGUAAUGUAAGCAUGUAUUCCGUAUAUAGUCAUACGUGCUUAUGGAAACAAACUUGCAUGACAUCUUUUGUCCUACCCUCUGAUGACCCACAAGUAUAGGGGAUCAAUUGUAUAUCUUUUCGAUAAGUAAGAGUGUUGAACCCAAUGAGGAGCAGAAGGAAAUGACAAGUGGUUUUCCGUAAGGUAAUGUCUGCAAGUGUUGAAAUUGUAAGUAGCAGAGUAGUUUGAUAGCAAGGUAAUUUGUAACGAGCAAGUAACGAUAGUAGUAACAAAAUUGCAGCAAGGUAGCCCAAUCCUUUUGAGGCAAAGGACAGGCCAAAAUGGUCUCUUAUGAUAAGCAAAGCAUUCUUAAGGGUACACGGGAAUUUCAUCUAGCCACUUUCAUCAUGUUAGCUUAAUUCGUGUUUGGUACUUUGAUAAUUUGAUAUAUGGGUGGACCGGUGCUUAGGUGAUGUUCUUACUUGAACAAACCUCCUACUUAUGAUUAACCCUCCCGCAAGCGUCCGCAACUACGAGAAAAGUAUUAAGAAUAAAUUCUAACCAUAGCAUUAAACUUUAUGUUCAGGCCAAUAGAUGCGCUCGGGCUGAAGAAGGGAGGAAGUACCCCGGCAAAUAUGCCGGCGUGGAAACUGAUUCCACAGAGGAAGAUGCCGUCGCCCCAGCAAAGAAGGGCCGACGCUACAAUAGGAAGCGUAAGGGCAAGACCGUGCUUGCCGUCGAGGGAUCCAGCGACCCCGGCGCCGCUAAGAAGGCCAAGGUUGAUGACUCCAACAAAGAAGUUGCUGGGUGCGCCGCCUGCCGAGCCUUGGCGGCUGCCGACAAGCUGGGAGGCUCCGACAAGCAGUACUGCAAGAUCCACUGCACCAAGGGCCAUGACCUCCAGAAUUGUCGGUAGGUUGAGCUGCUUGCAGAGAAGCAGAAAGCUGAGUAUGAGAGGCGCGAUAAGGAGAAGGGCCAAGAUGGUGCUGAGGCGUCCGGCAAGAAGCGUGGCGGUCGAGGAGGUCACCGCGACAAAGACAAUCAACAAGAGAGGCCCACUCGGGGCCACAACAAGAAGGAGGGAGACGAUGAUCAUGAUGAGGACGACGAGUCCGGCGAGCAUGAGUUCCAAAAAGCUACGAAGGCCAUGUGCGUCGACGGUGGCGCCUCAUUGCACACCUCUCACCGCCAACUGAAGCAGUGGGCGCAUGAAGUCACUGCAGAGGAGCCAUCGUUCGAUGCCUAGAGGUUGCUAAAGUGGUCCAACACGCCUAUCAUUUUUGACACCGAGGAUCACCCUGAUCGCACAACUGCGGUUGGGUAUUUGCUGUUGUUGGUUUCACCAACAAUAUGCAACCUCAAGGUGACGAAAGUGCUAGUUGACAGUGGGGCCGGUCUGAACUUGAUCUCGCCCGCCGUGAUCGAGAGGCUGCAAAUCCUCGAUGGAGAUCUCUAGGAGACGGAAGCGUCCCAAGGGGUCAACCCAGGGAGGAGUCAGUCGAAGGGUAAGAUCACAUUGCCCGUUACAUUUGGGGGCGAGUUGAACCAUAGGACGGAGAAGGUUGUUUUUUAUGUUGCCAAGAUCCCCUUGCCCUAUAAUGGGAUCCACGGCCGCCCAGCGCUGGCCAAGUUUAUGGCGGCAUCACAUUACGCCUACAACACGUCGAAAAUGCCCGAGCCAAUGAGCAUCAUCAUCGUCCCCUCCGCUAGGAAAGAUGCGCUCAUCUGCGCCGGCCAGCUUUACCGGGAGGCAGUUGCAGCGGCUGCCGCCAAGGCACCUGUUCCCGCCACUGAGACCCUGGGAGGGAAGAAAACCGGCAAGAUCUCUACUCCUGCCGGCAAGGCCCCUUUCGGCAAGACUGCUGACCCCAGCAAGGACUCCUACGCCCCCUCCCGCAAACACGCCUCUUCGGAGUGCCGUGUUCCCAUUGAGGACAUGCCAGGAAGUUCAGCUAGCGGGAGUAAGAGGUCCAAGGCAGCCCCACCAGAAACCAAGAAGGUUCCCGUCAGAGAGGAUGGCACGGGUGGAGCUUUUACCAUAAGCUCCACCCUUGAAAGCAAAUAGGAAAGUGUGUUCAUCACCUUCCUGCGGGUGAAUAUUGACGUGUUUGCACGACAAGCAUCCGACAUCCCCGGCGUUCCCAGGGAGGUGAUUGAGCACCACCUUGUUGUCUGUCCCCAUGUGUGGCCUGUCAAGCAGAAGGUCAGGAAGCAAGCUUUGGAGCGACAAUGGUUCAUCAUCGAGGAGAUCAGGAAGUUGGAGGCAACAAGCUUGGUCAGAGGAGUUCUCCACCCCACGUGGUUGGCCAAUCCAGUGAUGGUGCAUAAGGCAAAUGGGAAAUGGAGGCUGUGUAUUGACUAUACAGAUAUCAAUAAAGCAUGUCCAAAGGAUCCUUUCCCUCUACCACACAUUGACCAGAUAGUGGACUCCACUGCCGGGUGCGACCUGCUGUCGUUCCUUGAUGCCUACUCAGGAUACCACCAGAUCUUCAUGAUGAAGGAAGACAAAGAAAAAACUGCGUUCAUCACCCAAUGUGGCACGUACUAUUUUGUGCGGAUGCCUUUCGGGUUGAAAAGCGCCGGUUCGACAUUUGCCCGAGCAGUCCAAAUUGGUUUCGAGCCCCAGCUGCAUUGAAAUAUGGAAGCUUAUAUGGAUGAUAUAGUGGUCAAAACCAAGGACAAGGCCACGCUCAUGCAGGAUCUGGAAGAAACAUUUGCAAACCUGCGCAAGAUCAACCUCAAGCUCAACCCAGAGAAGUGUGUGUUCUGCGUCCCAUCCGGCAAACUUCUUGGGUUCUUUGUGUCUCAACGCGGAAUCGAAGCAAAUCCUGACAAGAUCAAAGUGAUUGAGAAAAUUGAGGUGCCAAGACGGGUCAAAGACGUCCGUAGAGUUGUCGGCUGCAUUGCUGCUCUAAGUAGGUUCAUCUCGAAAUCUGCUGAGCGCGCCCUCCCCUUUUUCAAAGUUUUGAAAAAGGUAGGUCCAAUGAAAUGGACUCCGGACACUACAAAAAAAAGA
rnacentral:lncRNA from 1 species